UCCAAAUCUCGACGCCGAUUAUCUGCAUAUGACUUCUGUCGACUCUGGGCUGCUAAUAAUCUUUCUUGAAUAAGCUUCACCUUGUCAACAGCUUGCUGAAUCACAUCCGGGCCUAUUAACUUAGUCUCGCCAACAUCAAACCAACCAAUAGGUGAUCUGCACUUCCUCCCAUAUAAGGCCUCGUACGGUGCCAUCUGGAUACUAGAAUGGUAGCUAUUAUUAUAGGCAAACUCAAUGAGCGGCAAGUGGUCAUCCCAGCUGCCUUUGAAGUCAAUAAUACAAGCCCGCAACAUAUCUUCUAGUGUCUGAAUAGUACGCUCAGCCUGCCCAUCAGUCUGAGGGUGUAAUGCUGUGCUAAGGUUCACCUGUGUCCCCAAUCCCUUCUGAAACGAUCUCCAAAAGUUGGCUGUAAAUUGAGCUCCUCUGUCUGAUAUAAUGGACAUGGGAACCCCAUGAAGUCUCACUAUUUCCCUGACAUAUAACCUCGCAUAAUCUUCAGCCGAAUAAGUAGUCUUGACUGGAAGAAAAUGGGCCGAUUUCGUCAGCCUAUCUACAAUAACCCAUAUAGAGUCAUACUUCCGUUGAGUGCGAGGUAAGCCUGUAAUGAAGUACAUAUUAAUCAUCUCCCAUUUCCAAGUCGGGAUCUCUAUCUCCUGUAAUAAUCCACCAGGCUUUUGAUGUUCGAUCUUGACUUGUUGACAAUUUGGGCACUGAGCAACAAACUCUGCUAUGUCCUUUUUCAUGCUAUCCCACCAAUAUAAGCAUCUGAGGUCAUGAUACAUUUUUGUUGACCCUGGGUGAAUAGAAUAACGGGCAGAGUGUGCCUCUCCCAUAACUUGCCGUCGUAGCCCCGCAGUAUCGGGUACACACAAUCUACCUUCAUAUCGUAACACUCCAUCAGGUGUAACCUUAAAUGGGGUCUUUUCCUUUUGAAGAGCUGCAUCUCUAUACUGUGCCAGAAUAGGGUCCUUGUAUUGGUGUCUCUUUACCUCAUCUAUGAUUGAGGACUCAUCAACCUCUCGAAUAGAAACUCCACUAUCUUCCGAAUUAGCUAGACGGACUCCAAGGAUGGAUAGCCGCUGAAUCUCCCGAACCAUAUCCCUCCCUUCUGGUCGUACAUCUAUCAAGCUACCCAUGGACUUACGGCUAAGAGCAUCUGCUACAACAUUCGCUUUCCCUGGAUGAUAUAAAAUAUCAACAUCAUAAUCCUUUAGCAACUCUAACCACCGCCUCUGUCGUAAGUUCAGCUCUUUCUGUUUAAAGAUAUAUUGGAGACUCUUAUGAUCUGUAUAGAUGUCCACAUGGACACCAUAUAAAUAAUGUCUCCAUAUCUUCAAGGCAUGAACCACAACCGCUAACUCCAGAUCGUGAGUAGGAUAGUUCUUUUCAUGCUUCCUAAGUUGUCGGGAGGCAUAGGCUAUAACUUUGCCAUGCUGCAUCAAUACACAUCCUAGCCCAACACCCAAAGCAUCACAAUAAAUAACAUAGCCGUCUGGUCCCUCUGGAAGAGUUAGGACUGGAGCUGUAGUCAAUUUGUCUUUCAAUAGCUGGAAGCUUCGCUCACAAGCAUCUGUCCACUGGAACUUGGCUGCCUUUUGAGUUAGCCUUGUCAAAGUCACUAAAAUUGAGGCAAACUUUUCUACGAACCUCCUAUAAUAUCCUGCUAACCCCAAAAAGCUGCGUACCUCAGUAGGUGUCGUAGGUCUGAGCCAAGUCUUUACUGCCUCAAUCUUCUGCGUGUCUACCCGAAUACCAUCAGCUCCAAUAAUAUGCCCCAAGAAUGCCACUGAAGUCAACCAGAACUCGCACUUAAAUUUAGCAUACAACUUCUGGUGUUGAAGCACCCUAAGUACCGUCCUUAAAUGAUCUGCAUGCUCCUCUUCUGAACGUGAAUAGACCAGAAUAUCGUCUAUAAAUACAAUAACAAACAUAUCAAGGAAUGGUUUAAAUACUCGAUUCAUUAAAUCCAUGAACACCGCUGGAGCAUUAGUCAGCCCAAAAGACAGCACUCUAAACUCAUAAUGCCCAUAUCGGGUCCGGAAUGCUGUCUUUGGAAUAUCUGCCUCCCUUACCCGCACCUGAUGAUAACCUGACCGCAAGUCUAUAUUUGAAAAACACUUUGCACCCUGCAACUGGUCAAAUAGAUCGUCAAUCCUUGGGAGGGGAUACCUGUUCUUUAUUGUUACUUUGUUCAACUGCCUAUAAUCAAUACACAUCCGCAGCGACCCAUCAUUCUUCCUCACAAACAGUACUGGUGCUCCCCAAGGUGACGUACUAGGCCUGAUGAAGCCCUUUUCUAGCAAAUCCUUCAAUUGCUCUUUCAAUUCUUUCAACUCAGCAGGUGCCAUUCUAUAAGGAGGUAUAGAUAUAGGCUGGGUAUCUGGCAGUACAUCUAUAGUAAACUCUAUCUCCCGUUCUGGAGGAAGGCCUGGAAGUUCCUCAGGGAAUACAUCAGGAAAUUCAUUAACUACCGGGACUGAUUGAAGAGUCGGUGCCUUUGCCUUUAUGUCAUGCACCCGAAUCAGAUGGUAAAUAUAGCCUUUUCUAACCAUCUUCCCGGCCUUGAGGUAUGAAAUGAACUUACCUUUCGGUGAUACUGUACUUCCCUUCCACUCUAUAAUCGGUUCCCCUGGAAAUUGAAACCGAACUAUCUUUACUCUGCAAUCAACAUUAGCAUAACAAGCAGCCAACCAAUCCAUGCCCAUGAUAAUAUCAAACUCAAUCAUAUUUAACUCUAUUAGAUCUGCUACGGUAUGACGACUAUAUAUAGCUACUGAACAAUUCCUAUAUACUCGCGUAGCUAUGACAAAAUCUCCUAAAGGUGUAGCUACCUCAAAUGGUUCUAUCAACUCAGACUCUAUUCCGAUCCUACUAGCAACAAAGGGAGAUAUAUAUGAUAAGGUGGAACCUAGGUCUAUCAAUGCAUACACACUUCGGGAGAAUAGUGAUAAUAUACCUGUGAUCACAUUAGGUGACGCCUCCUGAUCUUGCCUAUUAGUCAAAUCAUAUAUACGGUUUGAGGAACCGCUAGAACUGGAAGCUCCACCAUGUCCUCUACCACGGCCUGCUGGUGCCUGAAUACCCUGCCCCAUAGGGCGCAUAGCCACAGAAGAAGAUGAACCAGCAACGGACCCUGUAGGCUGUGCCAUACCACCCGCACUACCUCUAAGGUGACACUCCCUCAUAGUAUGGCCCUGAAGGCCGCAAGAAAAACACGCACCUGUAGCCCAACGACAUUCCCCAGGAUGGGAAUUACCACAACGAGAACACCGAGGCAAAGGUGGCCUUGACUGGCUCAAACCCCUGCCCAUCUGUGACCCUGACACCCUAGAGCUCUGACCAGGUUCCGAAUAUCCCAUACGAUCGAACCCCCUACCCAUGAAACGUGGGGGUGCACUCUGUGCUGGCUGGGAAGAAAAUCUAACAUGCUGCUGAGACUGCCCGUUUUGAAACUCGUCAGGAUAACCUGCUGAUCUAGCCCUCAUAUGUUGGCCUCUAUUAUAAUCUCUAUCUGGCUGACGUCCCCGGUGCCGAUCCUCUACCCCCUGUGCAUAUGCCUGCACCCGAGCAAUGUCCAUACCUGGCUGAAGAGUCACUGCCAUACAACCGUCAAUCAGAUAACGAUCCAAUCCUAUCACAUAACGAUGUACCCUGUCUGCCAUAUCAGCCACAAUAGUAGGCGCAUGCCUAGCCAAUGAAUCAAACUCGAGGCUAUACUCUCGAACACUCCUGCCAUUUUGCUUCAAACGCAAAUCUAUCGACUCUAGCUCGCUUCAUCUCUGGAGGCAGGAAGUGGCCCUGGAAAGCCUCCACAAAUUCAUCCCAUACCGCUGGAGGAGCACCCUCACCCCUAGAUAACUCCCAAGACUCAUACCAAUUAAUAGCUACAUCUCGCAAACAAUACGUAGCCAACUCAACAGACUCGGUCUCCGAAGCCUUGAUUAUCCUCAAUGUACGCUGCAGCUAACGAAUAAACUGUUGCGGAUCAUCCUGGGGCCUUGACCCAAAGAACUCUGGAGGAUUACAACUUAAGAAGUCACGAGCCCUUAAGCUAUCAGAUCUGUCCACAUGAUCAACUCCUAGUCCAUGCCUGCGAGCCUGAUCUGCCACUAAUCUAGUCACCAAUUGAACCGCAUCUCUCAUGGCCCUAUCCUCCGCCCCUGACUGAGGAGCUGGAGGUUCAGGUGUUGGGGCCUCGGGGGCUGGUGGUGUCCCCCGAACUGGAGCUGCUGCUGCUCUAAGCUCUUCUGGCGGUGGGGGUGUAGCAGAGCUCUCCGACUGGAGCAUAAUACCAGGCAUAGACUGGGCACGGGCCCUAGUAACUCUCCGGGUCUAACUAGUACCUUCUGCUACCAAUUUUCCCUUCUGGGCGGCUGUCGCUUUCUUUGGAGGCAUAGCUGAAAACACACGGAUUCGUUAGAGAGGGAUUAUCCCAUUAAUAUAGCUCUAUCGCACGAUCUAGAAUAAGAAGAAAGAAUGACAUCCUAAAUGUCCUGUAGCUUCCUGUUUAUAGAUGUGGUGCACAACACACAGAUAAACAAGACUCUACUAGACACGGUCUGUAGACACUUCCGAGGAAGAACCGCUCUGAUACCACUCUUUGUCACGACCCAACCCGAUAGGCCGUGACUAGUGCCCGUUUUGGACACCCAUAUACAAACCUGCUAAGUAUGACCAACUGAAACUAAGACAAUGUGGAAUUUAAUCAAAUCAAGCCAACCCCAACGUCAUAUAUAUAUAAGAGGACCUGUCUCAUAAGGAGUCAUAACCAUUCAACCAUAACAGCAUACGCAAGCCGACAAGGCCGCCACUAUUAAAAGCAUAAUAACAUAUGUAUGCCGACAAGGCUGCCACUACACAAUACACAAUGAUGUACGCAGCCGACAAGGCUGCCCCUGUACAAGCGGACAUCCCAAAGAAACCAUGUCCAGACCAUUAUCCAAAACAUAUAUAUACAACCCACAUAAUGUCCACAGACCUCUAAGAGUACAUUAGUGAAACUCGACGGGACAGGGCCCCGCCAUACCCAUAGACGAGCAAAAGACUACACAAAAGUUAUGUACCAAAACGACUGGGCUCCGGAACAGUGGAGCUCUCCCAAUAAGCAGAGUAGAUAUCCUAGGCGGGAGGAUCACCGAACUGCGCGUCUACACCUGCGGGCAUGAAACGCAGCCCCCCGAGGAAAGGGGGGUCAGUACGGACAAUGUACUGAGUAUGUAAAGCAUAAGGUAAAAAUGACAGGAUACCAAUAUGGCAAGUCGAAACAAAAUAUCGCUACACAUAUACCUUUUAAGUGAAAAUCAUGUAUAUAUUUAACAUUUAAGGUGCCCAGCUUCCCUAGUAAGGGGCUCGGCAAAAUAAUCAUCACAUCAUCUCCGUCAUCAUCAUCAUCAUAACCAUCCUCAUCACCAAUCAUAUAUAUAAUAUACAUACCCGGCCCUCUAGUGAGGAACUCGGUGACAUAUGCAAGAAACUCCGCACGAACAUUACCCGGCCCGGGACUCGGUGAAAUGAUAAAUGACUCUAUGCACGAGCAGAAUAUUAUGAGCAACCAUAUGCAAUUAAAAUCAUUUCUUAUAACUCAAUAGAACAAUCAACGUGAACCAGCAAGGAGUAUUACCAAAGAUUAAUGUUUUAUCAAGAUUAUGAACCUUUAAUACGAUAUGGAAACGUAAAAUCUCAAUGACUCUAAGAAGCAUUACCAUAGAUAUUAGAGAUCAUCAUAGCCUUAGACAUAGCCAAUAUAUAGAGGAAUAAUUGUGGAAGCAAGAAUAUACAUCACCUAGACGCUUUAGAGGUAAGUAUCAAAUCUGUCCGUUAUUCGCUUAUUUUUAAAAGUCAUGCCAAGCAAAGAAAGAAGGGACAGCGUUACAUACCGUAUAAUCGAGCCGCACGUCCAAUAUUUACUGCUCAAGCUAUUAAUCUAUAACAAGCAACAAUCGUGCCGCAAUUAGAUAAACAUCGUGCUUUACUUUCUUGUAAGCUAGCUAAUAAUCUAACGAAAAUUCGGCAGCACCUCCCCUAUUUUCCUUACUUCGUCCCAAUCUGACAACAAUCCAAAUUAUCCACAGCAAUACCAAUAACACAUAUAACCCAAAGAAUCAUAUUAAACAGCCCCCUCCCCAAAACAGUUCCGUCUCGGCAACUAUAGCAGCGAAGCAACGACACACACCGAGUGAUAACUCAUUUUAUAAUUCGCAACACAUCUACCUUAUCGUAUUCAUCCUUUGGAUUAUAUACUCAUAAUCACAUUCAACAUAUACAUAAUGCCAAAAUAGAAUUUUCCUGCAGUUUGCUUUAAUCAAAACAGCCCAAGCACCAACACGACACCACUAAUAAUCCGAUUAUGGUUUCCAUUCAUACUUAGCACAUUCAAUAACUAAAACAAACUUCCUAAGCUAUUGGUCACGCCCACUUCUUAAAAUUAACGGAUAAUUAACAAGGGUAUUCUAAAGAAUUAACACACCAAACAAGGAGAUUACUAACCAAAUUAUUUGCAGCUGCUGGCCAAGAGUUGCAGGGUUGGUUUCUCCAUUUCCAUGGCUGCCUAAGACAAGUGGUGGAGAAGAAGAUGAUAUGCAGCAAUGCAUUUCACCACUUUAUAUAGCAUGGAUUUGAUUUCUCCACCUCAUUUAAUAGUAUGAAGUGGAGGCAGCCCCCCUCUACACCUGUCCACUAAGGCCAGCCCACAAUUUGAUCCCUUUUUAAUUUUUGCCUUGAGUGGUGGGGCCCAUUGGAUUAAAUCAAUCCAAAUUAGCCACUAAUUAAUCCCUCACUUAAAGUUAAUGGCACUUACAUAGCCAACUCAUACUUAAUAUCACAUUUGGAAAUAACAUCCUUGCCUAAUAUUUCUUUACGUCUUCUAGAUCACGAUGCGCACUACGUAUAAAAAAAAUACGAGGCAUAACACAAACCUCAUAUCGACAUAUGGCGUCGCAAAAGAUAAGGUAUAACUAGGAUAAGGCAUAACAUAAAAAUCAAGAUGAGAGACUUGCAACAUAUCGUAAGACACAUUAGGAGAAACCCUCUUGCUCUCAGAAAGUCCGGAGUGCAUGAAAUAUGUUUUUGCUUUGAGCACUUGAACCUAAUCCACUAGGCGGAGGUUUCCUGCCUUUGUAUCACAACCCUCAAAAUAAAAUAGGUCAAACUAGAGCUUAUUGUCUGUGUUAUGAGUUAAUAAUGUGUUAAAAGGAUGAGUAUUAGAAUUUGUAGUCACAUUAUAGAGUUUGGAAGUCAAUCGUCAAGAAAUAACCAAGGCGUUUGGAAACUAGUCUUUGUGUGUGCUAGUGUGCCUUUGCAUGUUUUACAUGUUUUUUGGUGAAUAAAUUGAUAGGAUAUGACUCUAAAAUCUAGAGGAACAUGUUCAGGGUCGAAAUUUCCGGGUAAGAAUCCCCAAGGACCACCCUAAGGGUCCUUGAGAAGGACCCAAACCAUGAAAAAAUGCCAAAAGGCAGUCCAAAACCACGACCCUCAAACAACGUCCACUAUUUUGAUUGACGCCCCACCAAUUAGGUGUGUGGAUCCACACUUACCAUUGAAAUAUCAUACCCCAAAUGAACAGUGUCUAACGAAAAUGAUGCCCAACAGGAUGCCUCGCCGAUCAAACGACUGCCAGUAGAUGCAACCGUCAUUUUUGACACCGACAACUUUCUGCAGGUGUCUUGACCAAGGUAAGGGUGUUUAAGGAAACUAAAAUAAGGUCUUAAAUAAGUUCUAGAUUUUUAUUUUAGUUUUUUUAGGUAUUAAAGUUAUUUUAUUAACCUAAAACCUAAAUUAAACCUCACUUUACCAAAUCAAAACCCAAGAUCAAAUUGUGUUCUCUCUAGACUCCAUUGAAGUUUGAAGUAAGGUUGAAGCUAGGAUUGAAGUUAUUCAUUUAAUUCACCAUGAAUUUAUUGUGAAUUCUUUAUUAUAGGUAUUCUUUAUUAAAGGUAUGGUUUUUAAUCCUUUAUUCUUCUUCCACUCAAUGGAACAAUUCCAAAGGGUUUUUAAAGAUUCUUUCAGAACCUUUAAGUCCUAUUUUUAAUUCUAAGCAUGGUUCUUGCAUGAAAAGGUUUUAUGUGAUGUUUUAUGUAUUAAUUAAUAAAUGUUAAUUAUUGUUUUAAGAUUAAAAACUCUAUGAACCUAUGUAUUUUUUAAAUUUCUAAUUUUGGCUCUAAAGUGGGUGAAUUGAUCAUAACUUAAUCUUAUUGAAUACAAAUGUAGAUUGUAUUAGGCUAUUGAAUAAUGUAUUGAUCAAUGUUAGAGUUUUUCAUAGCUUGAUUUAUACAUUUAAUAUCUAUAUUGAGUUUUGAUGGCUUAUUUAUAUGAAUUAUUGGCGUAGUCUUGUACUCAUUAUUAUUAUAAGAUCUCUUGUUAUGUGGACUUGUUGGAAAGGCUGAAUGGUGAUUAUGGAUAUUGGAUUGUGGUGGGUUGACCUAAUUUCUUGUUUAGCAUAGAAUUGAUAUUGAAUUUGGAUUUAUUAGUAUGGUCCACUUAUGGUGGCGGUGUUUAAUUGUUUUCUGUGAUAAACAUAGCAUUGUCAGCAUUAUUAAGUGAACUAUAGUAUGAUUAUGAUAUGAUAUAUGUGAAGGGAUAAAGUGAGGGUACUCAUGUGAUGAUCUUGUAUGGGUACUAUAAUGAUACGAUUGAAUUUAUUGCUCCUCUAGUUGUUGACAUAUGAUGAUGAAGGACUAGGGAGAGCCUUUUAGAGAAUGAUGAUGUAUCGUAUGUGGUAGAUUACUUGACCCUACUUGGUACUUGAAAGGUAUUUUGAAUGAAUGAAAGAAUGAAAGUUUAGGAUUGAUAGACCUAAGUUGGUGCCCUUCCUUGAAUGAAUAUAUGAGAUAUUCUAGAGUACGUCUUGAACCAAUAGAGCUAAUCAUGGUGCCCCUUCUUGACAAUUCUAGAUCCCUAAGUGAAUGUGAGACCUUGAAUAACAUGAAGAUGUUAGUGAUUACUUUUGGAUCGGUAGGUUUAAGGCUCCCUUUAAAGAGUAGUGAAGUAAUCCAUCCUAGUAGACCUUGGUUGGCAGCCCUAGUGGACCUAUCCUUGGAAGAAAAAGUAUUAUGAGUUGGUAGCACUUACUGAUGGUACCUUCUCCAAUACACCUACAAAAUGAAUUACUCUAUGUAAAACAGGGCAAAGCACUGAGAGAAUAUGCUUGUGGUAGUAGCUCUACUUGAGUAGGAGACAAUUGUACAAAAAAGCCCUUGAUACCUUAACCAUGUGCUAACAUGGGAUGAUUACUAGUUCUACCUUUUUAAAUUAGAACACCUUCCAUGCUGUGGUGUCCUUUAUGACACCGAAUUCCAUACCUAGCUCAUUUGGUCUAUGUUUCUUAGUGUCUAUUCUCAUCAUAUGAGAUGUGCAUUCUAGUAUUGGAGAAGUUCUACACCAUGUAGGUAGUUGAAUGGGACGCUAUUUGUACAUGAAGAAUCUAGGUUGAGUUCCCUAGGUUCUCCAAGACCAUUAUGUGAAGUCCUCUAAUUGAUUGCCUAUCUUUCAAAUAAAUCUAAUGUAUAAGGUUCUCUUAGUAAAUAAUGUCUUAUCGAAAAGGUUCUUAUCUAAGGUGGAUUUAAGGAUCACUUAGGUCUGCUUGAAGAGGGUAUAUGGGCGGUCUCUUCAUGUCAUAAUUAAGUGAGUCUUAGAGUUACUUUUGAUUGAGGGUCUAAAGGAUUGAAAAUGCUUAUUUUGUGAAUGUUGAAUGUCUCUUAUAUGUUAUGGUUGAAUUGUAUAUGUAUUUUAAACUCUUAUGAUGAGAUUUCUACCAAAAGAACAUGAAAAGUAUGUUUUAAAGUAAAUCUACAUUUUAGCAUAACUUUCUUAAAUGUUCACCAUACUUAGUGCAUUCAAUGCGCUAAUUCCAUAUAUUUUCUAUGUCUAAAGGUGUAGGAGAAAGUGAGGAUUAUUCUUAGAAGUUGAAGCUUGGGAAUCACAUUCUCUGAAGAUUGGUAUGUCCUCAUAUGUACGAGGAUAUUACUUAUGUUAAUUUCCUUUUCUAAAAGACUUUGUAAAAAACUAUAGUUCCUUUUAUAAUUGAUGUAAGGUUCGUGACUCUAUGAUAUUAUAUGUGUAUAAGAUAGUGCAUGUUGACAUUUAGCCUUUCUUAUAUUCUAUAAAGGUUCAGACUAUUGUUAUAAAAAGUUUUAAUUUCACACUAGUUUUCAUAUAUAUAUGUGUGUGUGUGUGUGUGUGUGUGUGUGUGUGUGCAUUUUUUUUGUGUGUGUGUGUAAGAGAGAGAGAUGAAUGACGUCUAAGGGCUGUUAUAAGACCUAUGAGAGGUUGAGUACACAGUUUAGCAACCUGGGGGUGCUCUAGGAUCCUUACAAACUUUAAAUCUGAUCAAGGCUAUGAAGUAGUCUUUAGGAUUCAAAGUCUCAUAAAUCCACAUAUAGUAGCGUCUUGUUCAUGAGUGUUGAGAAGUAUCCCUUGAAUUUACCCUAUUGUCUAAGUUUCUUCCUCCACCCUUGGUGUCUAAUCCUAGAGAUCAGAUAAGUAUGUUCUUGACCGGUGUAUCGACCUCGUGAAGGAAAAGUGUCAUAAGCAAAUGUUUCAUGGUGAUAUGACCCUAUCUAGGCUUAUGGUGUAUGGUCAAUCUAUUGAAUAGUUUAAGCUUGGGAGGAGAGGUAGAGAUGCUAAGAGGGGAAGAACCAAUGAGCAAGGUCAACCUAGGUUUAAGAAGAGAACUCCAAAUUAACAUGUUCCUAAUGCUCCUAAGGCUAACUGUGAGAGGGGUGGUGGUUCCCACAUAUAUGAACCUACUUUCUCAAAUUGUGGGAAAAACAUUUUGUGAAGUCUAGCCAGUACUAGUGGGUGUUAUGGUUGUGGAAAGGAUGAUCACUAGGUGAAAGAUUGUCCCACUAUUGCGGCAAGGGAGAAAGGUCAAGAAAGCUCAUAGUGAAGGUACGAUUUCUAUUCCUCCAAAUUGUUGUUGUUUCUAUCACUCCCAAGCUAAAUCAAUUCCAGAUGAAGGUCCCGGUAAGUUAUGGUUCUCUAUUUUGUGUGUUGAUGAGUUUUUCCUAAGUGGGGGAGUAGCUGAAUAGUUGGGUUGAUGAAUCAUGUCUCUUCUCUUCUCUUCUAUUUUAUUUUAUUUAAGCUUGAGAGUUAGAACUUUAAGCAGCAUGUUGCAUGUGUUUAGGAGUAUAAGUGAAAAUGAAUUUCAUUAAUUCCUUGCAUUGUGCAUAUUUCCAUGAGUUUAUGUUUAUGUGUAAAUUGGGUUCAUAUGAUUUUGUCUUGCAUAUUUUUAUUUGUGUAUAGUAAAUUGCUUAUAUGUUGCAUGAGUGAGCUUGAAGACAUGCUUAACAAUGAUUUUCUUGAAGUUAAUGCAUAAAUGUGUUUUAUGAGAUCUUGGCAAAAUGUUCUUAGAAUUAAUGUGAUAAUAUGAUGAUAUGUGGAGAAGGAAGUUACUCCUAUGUGAAAUGAAAAGGUAGAGUCUUAUUGCAUUAUAAGAUGUAGAUUUUGAUCCUACUUUCUUGUUGUCAUUUGAGUCCCUUGAUUAUAUGAAGUUGAUGUUCCUCCUAGCUAUAUGUGUUUUUGUAUGAUGUGGUAUGGUUAUGAGCUGCUAGUCUUGAGUCUUUAUCAUUUGAAAGUGUUGAAAGUAUUUUAGUGUCAUUCGAGGAUGAAUGUUUAUCUAAGUGGGAGAGAAUGUCACAACCCUCAAAAUGAACUAGGUUAUAAUAGAGACUAUCAUGUGUGUUAUGCGUUAAUAAGGUGUUAAAAAUAUGAAUAUUAGCAUUAGAAGUCAGGUUGUUGAGUUUGGAAUUCAAACAUCAAAGAACAACCAAGACGUUGGGAAACUAGUCGUUGAGUGCAACUUUGCAUGUUUUAUGUAUUGUUUGAUGUAAAAAUCGGUACGAGAGGACUCAAACACCUAUAGUAACAUGUUUAGGGUGGAAACAUCCCGGUACGAUUCCCCAAGGACCACCCUAAGGGUCCUUGACGAGGAUCCAAGCCUUUGCAAGAAACUGCCAAAAGGCAGUCCAAACCACGACCCUCAAAUACGUCCAGUAGUUCCAUCACCGCACCAUCAAUUGGGUCCUGACUCUACACUUAGUGGUGGAAGAUUAGCCCUAAAAUACAAGUAUCUGACCAAAACGACGCCCGGAAGGAUGCCUCAUUGAUCAAACGACAACCAGUAAAUGCAACCGUCAUUUGACAACUACAACUUUUUGCAUGUGUCUUCUCAACCAAGGUAAGGGUAUUUUAGGAAAUAAACCAAGGUCAUAAUUAAGUCCUCGACAGUUAAUUUAGGUGUUUUUAGGUAUUUUAAGUUAGUUUAUAAACCUAAACCUAUGUUAGACCUCACUUUUCAAAAUCAAAACUCAAGAUCAAUUAAGUUUCUCUAGACUCCAUUGAAGCUUGAAGCAAGGUUGAAUGUAGGAUUGAAGAUCUUCAUUUAUUUCUCCAUCAAUUUUGUGUGAAUUCUUCAUUAAAGGCAUGUUGUUUCUUUCUUGAUUCCCUUUCCAUUAAAGGAGCCAAUUCCAAAGGCUUUUCGAAGAUUCAUUCGAAACCUUAAAGGCCUAUUUUGAAGUCUAAGCAUGGGGUCUUGCAUGAAAAGGUUUUAAGUGAUGUUUUAUGGAUUGAUCAAUGUUAAUUGAAUGUGUUAAGGUCAAAAAUUCUAUGAACCCAUGCAUUCUAUGAAUUUCUAAUUUUUGCUCUAAAGUGGGUGAAUUGAUCAUGACUUAAUCUUAUUGAAUUUAUGUGUAGAUCGUAUUAGGCUGUUUAAUUGUGUAUUGAUCAAUGUUAGAAUUGUUCAUAGCAUGCUUUAACGAAUUAUUGACCUAGUCUUAUAUUCAUUAUUAUUGUAAAGGUCUCUUGAUAUAUGGAUUUUUUUGGAAAGGCUAGGGAAUGGUGAUUAUGGCUAUUUGAAGGUGGUGAAUUGACAUUAUUCCUGUGUUCAACACCGAUUGAUAUUCAAUACUCAAUGAUUGGUAAGUUCCACUUAUAGUGGCAGUGGUUAAUUGUUAUAUGUUAUGUACAUGACCUAGUCUGUAUUAUUAAGUGAACUAUUGUAUGAUCAUGAUAUGGUAUAUGCAAAAGUAUAAAGUGAAGGUACUCAUGUGAUGAUCUUGUAUGGAUAUGAUUGAAUGUAUUGCUUCUCUAGUUGUUGAUAUAUGAUGAUAAAGGACUAGCGAGAGCCUUUAGGAAAUGAUGAUGUAUAAUGUGUGGUAGACUAGUUGCCCCUACUUGUAACUUGAAAGGUAUUAAAUGAAUGAAAGAAUAAAAGUCUAGAAUCAGUAGACCUAAAUUAGUGUCCUUCCUUUGAAUGAUUAUAUGAGGUAUUCUAGAGUAUGUCUCGACCGGUAGGCCUAAGCAUGGUGCCCCUUCUUGAUUAAUCUACAAACUUAAUUUAAUGUGAAUCCUUGAAUAAUGUAAAGAAGGUUAAUGAUAACUUUUUGAUCAGUAGGCUUAAGGCGCCCUUUCAAGAGUAGUCAAGUUAGUUUUCCUAAUAGACAUUGUUUGGCAGCCCUAAUGGACCCAUCCUUAAAAGAAGAAGUAUUACGAGUUGGUAAAAAAUACUGAUGGUACCUUCUCUAACACAAGUAGGGAAUGAAUUACUCUAUAAGAAACAAGUCAAACCACCGAGAGGAUAUGCUUAUGGUAGUAGCUCUACUUGAGUAGGAGACUAGAGUACAAACAAGCCCUUAAUAUCGGUUAUGCCAACAUGGGAUGGUUACUAGUUCUACCUUUGGCAACUAAAACAACUUCCAUUGUGUAGGGUCAUUUAUGACACCAAAUUCCAUACCUAGUUCGUGUGGUCUAUGUGUGUUAGUGCCUAUUCUCAUCAUAUGGUAUGUGCAUUGUAGUAUUGGAGAAGAUCUAGAACGUAUAGGUAGUGGAAUAGGACGCUAUCUAUACAUAGAACGAGUAGGCUUUGAUAAUGCUAGGAUGGGUUCCCUAGGUCCUGCAAGACCAUUAUGUGAAGUCCUCUAAUUGCUUGUUUGUCUUUUAAAUGACUCUAAUAUAUAAGGUUCUCUUAGUAAAGAAUGUCUAAUUGAAAAGGUUCUUAUCUAAGGUAGAUUUGAGGAUAACUUAGGUGUGCUUGAAGAGGGUGUAUGGCGACCUCUUCAUGUCAUAUUCUAGUGAGUUUUAGAGUAAACUUUAGGUAGAGGAUCUAAAGGAAUGAAAAGGCUUAUUUAGUUAAUGUUGAACGUCUCUUAUAUGUUUUGGUUGAAUGGUAUAUGUCUUUUAAACUCUUAUGAGGAAGAUUUCUAUCAAAAGAGCAUGAAAAGUAUAUUUUAAAGUAAAUGUCUAUUUUACCAUAGCUUUCUUGCAUGUUCAUGAUACUUUGUACAUUCAAUGUGCUAAUUCCACAUGUUUUCUAGGUCUACAAGUGUAGGUGGCAAGUAAUUUCUUAGAAGUUAAAUCUUGGGAAUAGCAUUCUCGCAAGAUUUGUAUGUCCUCAUAUGUUCGAGGACAAGGCUUAUGUUUUGUUUCCUUUUCUAAAAGACUUUAUAAUAGACUAUAUUUCCUUUUCAAAUUGAUGUAAGGGCCGUUACUCUAUGAUAUUAUAUGUGUCUAAGAUGGAGUAUGUUGAUACUUAAUUUUUUCUUAAAUUCUAUGAAGAUUUAGACUACUGUUGUGAAAAUUUUUAAUUCACCACUGCUUUUCAUAUAUAUGCGAUGAAUGAUGUCUAAGGGCUAGUAUAAGAUUGUGAGAGGUUGAGUACACAGUGUAGUGACAUGGGGGUGCUCUCGGGUUGUUACACUGUUCCCUUAGCCGUAAGUGUUUGACAAUCUAUUAUCUUUACAAACACUCUUACCAUAACUUUCUGUAGCAUCUAAGCAUUUACCCCCAUUCUUCCUUCAACACUUAGCACAAGUAGACAACAAAGAUAUACUAACACUUCCUCCUUGAGGUUUAGUAUUAGAGACAUUAUAUUUGUUCAAUCUAGAAUGACAACAUCCAUUGAACCUUGAAUGUGAAAAGUAACCAUCAUCGGUCCUUGCCUUCAUUGACUCCUGUAAUCUUCCCCUAAGUUUCUGUUCUUCAAUUUGUGUAGCAUGUACUAUUAGACAAGAAAUGUAUCAUUGAGAAGCAUAGUGAUACGAUAUUCCUUGACUACUAUCUCAUAAAAUUCAAACACAAACUUACUCAUCCUUUACCUAGACUCAUGUUUCCUUGAUGAAAGUUGAUGAAUGCAAGAACCUUUGCCUCCCUCAUCUUUAUGGGAAACAACCUAUCAAGCAAUUCAAUCUUAAACUUUUCCCAAUUGAGAGGACCCAAAUGAUCUACCCUUUCUUCCUUCCAUUGGUAGAACCAAACAUGACCAACACCCUUACAUUUACAAAAGAAAAAUCCUACAUUUUUCACUGGUGUCAAUCCCAUUAUUAUCAACACCUUAUACACUUCAUAAAUGAAUUCUUGAGAAUGUUCUCAACCUUAGAAAAACGAAACUCUGGGGGUUUAAUUCUAGUGAAUUCUUAGUCUAGAUGUCGUCGUACCCAUAUUAGAGUUUAGGAGAAACAACAACUACCUAUUAGAUUGAGCCAACACUUUAAAAGCAGCCCUAAACUUUGCAUAAUUCACUUGCUUGACCAAAGGAUCAACUGAAACUUGAGGAGCUUCUUAUUCCAUAUUCUCAUUCACAUUCCUCCUAACACAUGCUUUUCGAGGGGAAAUUCCUAAAAGUUAUUCGAUAGGGAUAGGAAAAACGACAUAUAGAGUUACACUCUAUCGCACGACUGAGUAAUGAAAGAAGUUGAUUUUUCCUAAUCAUUUUAUAGCUUCUCAUUAAUAUAUAUGACGCUCUUCACAUUUAUGAACAAGACUCUACUUGACAAGGCUAAUGACAAAUCAUAAGACCUUCCUAAAUUUUAUGCUCUGAAUACUAACUUUGUCAUGACCCAAAAUAUACCCUUUUUGUAACAUGGUGUAUACGACACCAAGAGGCCUUACAAAAGCCACUUACAAUGCAUAAAAAUAUAAUAGUCUCAAAAUCCAUCUAUGACAUUAACAGUGAUUGUGAAGUAACUCUUAUAUCACAAUAAUACAGAAAAUUAGGUAUAAUAAGAAAUGAAGGCGCAGUCCAAGGAAUAUGAGGACUCACCGAUCUUCAACAUAUAUUAAGUGAUCCCUAGCCACAAAGAUGGAAAAUUUGAAUGUCAGACCCUACAUUUGGAAAAAAAACAAUGUAGGAAAGAGUAUGUAUUAGUUUAAAAUGUACCUUUGAUUAUAGAAAUGCAUAGAUUUACAAAGUCAUGCUAAAAAGGAACUUUUCAAGAAAUGAAAAUACCAAGUUAAAACCAUAAGAUAAGAGGUUAGAAAACAUUGUUGUAACCAUGGUUAAUGCAAGUAAAAUUCAUCUUUGAAUUGAAGUGUGUCCUUACCUGCCAAUUGAAGAACCUUAAUCUAGUAGGUAAAAUUAGAGCCUCACGUGAGAGUUUUAGAUUUUUAUAUGUAAGUUAAUUUUAUAAAAUUGAUUCCCAUACUUAGGAUUAGGUUUUUAGGAGUCUAACAUCAAGGUACGAGUCCUCAAGGAAAAAUCAAAGGGGUCCUUGAGGAGGACCCCAAAGCAGUUCCUAAAACUGCCUAAAAGAGUGAGCUACAGAUGGGAACUAAGGGGCGUAGGUCCAUCCACACCACGUGAGUGAAGACCCCAUAUUGUGAGAUUCAAGCCACCAUAGAAGGACAAGAAGGAUGCAACAUGAGUCUACUCACAGACUGUGGGUCCUAGGUCGUGGAUCCUUCUUGCAAAUUUGCCUAAGUUCAGCCAUGGUAAGUUUAAUUUUGGUAAUUCUUAUUUUAAUUAUUUUAUUAUAGCUUAGUUUAAUAUUGUUGUAGUAAUACUUUACUUUUUAUGAAAUCACAAGACUGAAAUAAUAACCACCUUUUUCCCACAUAUUUCUCUCACUAGAACCACUAUUGUAGAAGAAAAACAUCUUACGGUUUAAGGUUCAAAGACUUAUAUUUUAUCUCAAUUUCAUGAGGAAUCUUCAUAUUUUAUGGUAUUUUAUCAUAUAUGAUAGCUUUCACCAAUAGAGCCCCUUCCAAGUUCAAUUUUGAAACUAGUGUUUCUCCAAAAGAUUUUGGUUUCACUCACAGUCAUGGGUUGUCUUACAAAACAUUUCAAUGGUUUAUUUACGAUGAAUUAUGAUUGAAUUGAUGAAUUAUUAGGUUUAUGAUUAACUACCCCAAGAACCCAUGAAAUCCCCUAUUUCCCCAGUUUGCAUCUUAAGUGUGGGUAUUGUUGUGUAUCGUGAAAUUAAAUGAUUUUACUAUGAUUAUACAUGUAUUCUUAAUUAAAGUGUGUUUCUAGGGUGAAAUUGAUAUAGUCAGUAUUAGGCUAUAAAAGAGGGGAUUGAGGGCUUAGAUGUGACCUUUAAAGAUUGAUGACUUUCUUUAUGAAUUGCUUGAGAUUAGAACACUUGGAUAUGAAUUACUUAAAAUUAAAUCUCCUACGCAUGAAUUAAGUAAAUUAGGGUUUAUAUCAUGGAUCAUGGUUGAGUAAUAUUGAGUUUGAGCACAAACUAAUUGCAUUGGCUGAAAUGUGAUUCUAUUCAUGUCUAGUGUAGUGAGGGCUGGAUAUGUUGAUUUAAUAUGAUAUGUGAUCCUUGAAUUCAAGAUAUGAGAAUUAUGCAUGAUUGCGAUAUUAUGUACAUGUUUUAUGAAUACUUUUAAAGUGAAGUGUGUAUAAUAAUGAUAUUAUCGUAAUGUUAUUGAAAGGACAACCUCACACACACUUCAUGCAUGAAUGUAAUUAUGAUGUAACUAUGGUGUUGUUGAAAGGUUAUGAUUAUAUAAACCCUUACACAUGGCUAAUCAUGAAACUUAUAUGACUAUGAUAAUCUUGUUGUAUUGAAUGAAAGGCUAUUCGCAUGAACACAUAGUGAAAAUGAUAUGAAAGGUUAGUCACAUAUAAAUGAUUCUAUGGUUGAAAAGCAAUUCUCACCUAAUGAUCCUAGAACAUAUAUCCUCAUAUUUUUGUGGAUUAAGUGUUAAGUCACUCUCCCAAAAAUAUGAAGUUAAGUCAAGACUCAACAUGAACUUAAAGGGAAAUAUACCUAUCACCGAGUGGAUAUGAAUAUUAGAUAGAAGCUUUUAUGCAGUUAGUCCGACAUCCCAAAUGAAAGAAUUUAUGUCACUUAGUCUGGUAUCCGAAAUGUAAGAGUUCAUGUAAGUUAGUCUGGAAUUCCAAAUAAAAGAGUUUACAUUAGUUAGUCCGGCUUUCUAAAUGGAUUCCUUUUACGCUAGUCAGCGUUCCCAAAAGAGUUAUCUCAUAAGAUUGAAACCUUUUACCUCAGUAAGUCUGAAUUUCUAGUAACAAUCUCCUUAUCUUAUAACUAUAUGUCCAUGUAGGUCUUUAGCUAGUGGAUUCACCUAAGUUAAUAAACAUCAAUUGUGAGGCAAGUAGGAAACCACUUUACGGUGUGGGGCAUGAGACUGGAUUCCAUGUAUUUCAAAUGGUCUAUGUUUGUGAAGACUAUUUCCCUCUAUGAACAAGAACAUGAACUAUGAACAAGAACAUGAGUUAUGCACCAUGGUUUUUUCAGAGGCUCUACUUAAUGUGUGUGGGGGUAUGGGAUUUCAUCCUUUCAUUGCACAAGUAGGCUUUGAGAAUGGUCGUGGUAGGUUUCUCUUAUGAUACGAUGACCUAUGAGUUAAUGCAUGCUUUAUAUGAAAUAUGAACAUGAAUAUGAACUAUACUUAUGACUUCUCAAGGAGCUUUACUAAGUGUAAGUGAGUGUAUGAGACUUCAUUCAUGCAUUGCACAAGUUGGCUUUGAAAUGUGUUAUGGUGUGAUUUCCUUAUGAUAUUAAGAUAUAUGAAUUAUGCCUGUAUGAUAUGGAUUGUUGCUAAAAGUAGUUUUUCUUCUUAUAAGCUAUGAACAUAAAUGUUUCCUUAUCUAUGAGUAUUAACUAUGGAUGAAAUCAAAGUAUUAUAAGUAUGAUCUUGGUGGCAUAAAAGUGGUACUUAGUGUAGAUGGGAUUAUGAUAUCUUAUCUAUGACUUUCACAAGUAAAUUUAGGGUUACUUAUGUAAUGGUUCUAUUAUUAUUUAAUUAUGUAUAUGAAAUAUGCCUUAUGAUGAUUGGGGUAUGCAUUAUGUUUUUGUUGGAAGUUAUCCUUGUGUUUAUGUUGAUAUCCUUUGUGCUAAGAUGAAUUGUACAUGAGUUUUCUUAUGAGUUAGAUUCUCCAACUAUUUCAAAGAUGAUGUUCAAAAUUGGCAUCUAGCAUGAUUCAACUAAAAAUGUCACCUUUACCGUGUUUUAAGGAUUUUUAUACAUUGUUAUAAUGCCUAGUGAAAUUUUUGUACUAACCCAUUUUUCUAUGUUUUCUAUGAGUGUAGGGCCUGGUUGUUGAGGUGUGCUUCUUCUAUUGUCAAAUCUUUGAUUUAUUCUCUCCACACUCUUGGUGAGUCCUCAGAGUUUGAGGAUGAAAUUUUUUGAUUUCUAGUGUCUUUCUUACAUUGUCUAUUGAGAGUAUGUUGUAAAGGAUUGUGACCCUUAGUGAUACUUGAUUGUGUUAGAUGACUUGUAGUAAAAAUGUCUAGACUUCUAUUUGAUUUUAUGAAUGACUUCAAUUGUAAAAACUUUUAAAUUCCGCAUCAUUUCUAUUACUUAUGUUUAUGAUAUUCUAUGGGCUUGUAUGUUAUGUUACAUCUGAAGGGUACCCCUAGGUCAUAAAAAACAUUGUAUCAGAGAACAAAGUUUGGAAUGAUUCUAGGAUUAUGUCUCAUAAUCCACAUCUAGUAGAGUCAUAUUCAUAUUGUGAAGCAUACCACAUUUAUAAAUGAGAGGCUGCAAGAUGCUUAAGAAAUUCCACUUCUUCAUUACUCUAAAACUGUGUGAUAGAUUUUAACGUCAUAGGGUAUUUUUUUCUAAUCCUUAUGUGGUUGUCCAUAUGAUAUGACUAUUAAGGAGUUUUCACUGAUGGAUUUGAAGGAUACAAUGUUUAUAAAGGAACCCCUCUUGCAGCUCUCUAGUUUCGGUUGACUUAUUCUCUAAUGAGAAGAUAAGGUGUGGUUUUCAAUUAUUGACUCAACUUGGGAUAAAAAUUCCAAAAUUCUAUGGGUCAAAGAUGGUGUAAGAGCCUUAGGAGUUCAUAUAUGAGAUCUCUAAGGUGUUGAAUUUAUGCGAUUUACUUCGGUAGAAAAGGCAAAAUUGAUGUCUUAUUAAUCGAUGGAAGUUGCUUAACUUUGUUUGACCAAUUAAAAAAAGCAAGGUCGUUACAAGCGUGUCCCAUAGAAUGGGAAAGAUUUAAGAAUGGGUUUCUUGAUAGGUUUUUCCCUUUAGAGAUGAGAGAGGCUAAGAUACUUGAGUUUAUCAACCAUUGCAAAGAUAGGAUGAGUGUUGAGGAGUAUUCUCGAGUGUUCACUAAGUUGUAAAGAUAUGCUUCAUUCAUAGUUACCGACCAUGAGAUGAAGAUGAGUAAGUUUGUUUCAUGUGUGUCUUGCUUUAUAGCAAAAGAAUGUUGUAUGGUUAUGUAGGAUUAUGAUGUGUUAUUUUCUUAUGCUUCAUGUUCAACGAUCUGAAACACUACACCAUUUUAGGCCGAAGGUCACACUAGAUCUUGACAACACUUUACAAGUGUUGUCUAAAGUACUUUUGGAUACGCUUUUAAAGUGUAGCCUUAACUUUUCAUUUUUUUUCCACGAUGACAUUAGCAACACUUUUAAAGUAUGAUCUUUAGUGGUAUAGGCUAUACUUCUAAGUGUUGUCAUGUCAUGAUAUAAUUGGUAAUACUUAUUUACACAUAUGGCUACAAUUUUAAAGUGUUUUGUUUUUAUAAAUCUAUAAAAAAAAACACUUUACAAGUGUUGCAUUAUAAUUUUUUCUAAAAUUAUCACUAAAAUAUUGUAUUCCCUCCAAUAUAAUUAACACUCCCUCCAAUUUUCAAUCGUCCCAAAAAAAGAAUUUAUAUAUAAAAGAAAAAAGAAGCUCACUGUACCUUUUUCCCCAGAUCAAAAUAGGAGCUGCUAAAUCAAUUCACUCAGACACAAAACCCUAUUUCCAUCUCCUUCACAUUUAAUCACAUAAGUUCUCUAUUGUAGCUUUUUAUAGUUCUUCUUUCUACAUAUCUUGUUUUUAUUGUACAUUUCUCUCUUCUUCUACACCUUCGUUUGGGGAAGUGGGAAAACAUUUCAAAAAACUCGGACAUAAUUAUGUAUAUAAAUGAGUGUAUGUAUGUAUGAGUAUUAACUAGUUUUGUUUUAACAACUAAAUUUGUAUACUUAAAGAGCACUCCGCUCCCUGACUUCCUUCAAGAAGGCUAUCAUGGACGUCAGUUGCAUAUUUUGUCCAUGAAAAAUUAUGUUUCCUAACUCUUUAUGACUUUGAGAACAUGUCAAUCAUUUUUCUAAGUUGUAUUUAUAUUUCUUAUAUGAUAGUAUCUUUAUAUACAGUAUUAUCCCAUUAUAUAUUUCAAUAUCUAGCUAUCCAAAUAUGGUAUACUUAAGCUCCCAAUCCAGCAACUAGAAUAUCUUUCUUCCUUCUCAUUAAUGCUUGAUCUUUAGUAUGAGCAGAGAUUUUUCAACGUCCUGCUGUUGUAGAGUCUACCAGAACAAUCUAGUGAAGUUAUCCCAUAAUGCAGUAAUCAAAUCAAAUUCAACAAAUAGAGGAUGAGCAGAUUACAUGGUAUUAGUCACAUAAAUAGCUACUAUCAGCUUCUUAAUGAAUUCCCACACUAAAUAAUCUUCCUUUAAUUAGAAAUAUCUUUCCUCCACUUCCAGCUAAAGAAUAAAUCAAUUUUUAGGAAUUUUGAGUGCAACUCUUAACAACAUUUUCUGAUUCCAAACAAGCCUAGUUCAAAGAAAAGUUACGUAACUCAGUACAUAGUUUAUUAUAGUUUUUAUUCAAGGAUUUCUGUUGAUUUUGAAAAUAGAAGACAUUGUUUAAUAAUUACAAGUUUUAUUUUAAAAUAGUGGUUAACUUUUUUUCAUGCCUCGUUUGAGUUUAUUCUGAUUUGUAUAACUAGAGAUUAAGGUGUAUGUAUGAAUAUCGAACCAAGAUUUCAUUGUCAAUAUACUACUAACCUAACAAUUGUUAUUGUUUGUAAGUCUAACUCCAUUCCUCUUUUUUGUGAAACUUUUAUUCAACUAUAAUUAUGUGUGCACACUAUCUAAACUUAAAUCUGCUCAUUUGUUUUGCUUUUCCACUGCCAGCUUAAAAUUUUCAUUGUAAGAAACACGGUAAAAGAAAAAUCAUACACCUUAAUGUAUAGUAAAUUUUUAAUUGUAACCAGUUGACUUUUAAUCAAACAAUAGUUGUAAGGAGAAUGGAGGCAUCGUGAUUAUUAGAUAUACGUUCACAUGUAACCAGUUGAUGUGAAGUAAAGUAUUUCUAUCCAAGAAGUACCUCAAGCAAUGAAUCUACGUUCCUUUAAAAAUGUGGAGAAGGUGAGUAUCGAAUAUAACGAAAUUGAAAUAUAAGUAUUGGUCGAUGUCUAAGGUUAAUUUCUAUUAUAGCACCAUUAUGUAAAUAAUGUUUUCAUUUGUUGAAUCACAUCUAAAACCAAUGUGAUAAAUAAGGAAGACUAUCAUUUCGAAAUUGCAUUGAACUCUAAUGUGCAUUAUCUACCUUGUGUAUUCCAGCAAUGAUUUUCAGAAAAGUUGUAUUUCCAUUGCCCAUAUGUAUUUGUGGUAUUUACUUUGCCUGAAUGGUUUAUGUUACCAGUUUCAAAAAAAACAUUGGUUUAAUGGCCCCAAAAUUAUUAGAGAUUGAGAUGUAGUUCAUUGAUAAUACAUGUUAUGGAGAAUUUGAGUUUGCCUGAGAUGGCUAACAAAGAAGGUUAGAUUUUUAGUAUUACAUGGACUACUCUUUCUUGCUAGGAUAUACAGAGGAGAGUAGCAUCUAUGUAGGUUUGUAUUCAUAAUUGUGAAGCGCCACACUUAAGAAUAGGACCUAUGUGAUGCUUAGCAAUCACUCACUUUCUUGGAAAUCUUAUAUCGUGCCAUUAGAGUAUACCUAUGGUGUUCUUUUGCAUAUAAUCCUAUUGUUGUGCUUAUAUGAAGAAUGAACACUCGAAGAAAUGUGGUUCGGAGACUUGAAGAGGAAAUUGCCAUUGCGGGAGCUCCUCCCCAUGGUGAUCAAGUUCCUCCACAUGAACAAGGGAUGACAAUAUAAGAACCACUCUUCAUCAAAUGGACCAAGCUAUCACCACUAAAGCACAAGCGGCCAAGACUCAAGCCUAAGCUAUGACGGCUCAAGCAAACAGGGAGGUUGUGCCCCGUCCUUAUCAACAAGUUAGUACUAUGGCUUCCUGUCGAAGGGACUUCAUUGGGUAUGAAACAUGCUUGCAGACUAGCCCAAAAGGGAGAGCCACAUGCAUUAAGCUAUAAAAAAAAUAUGUGGUGUACGCGUGCAUAUAAACUGUAGGGUAGUGUGUAUGUGAAUAAAAUAUCAUAAGAAAUGUAGGAAAUUGAAUGGAUGAGCAUAUGAUCCAUGAGUAUAAAAGCUAAGAAAGUAUGUUAUAUUAUAUGUAAGCAGGUAGACUAUAUGACAUGUAGACAUAUAAGAAACUGAACUAUCAUAUGAAAAUCACAUUGAGAAAGUAUGUUAUAUUAUAUGAAUUGGUGGACUAACAUGUAAAAUUAAGUACACAUGAUAUAUGACCACAUGACACAUGUCUAGAAAAUCUCUAAGGCCUCUAAUGCUUAAGAAAAUAAGCUAUAUAUUGUUUAUGAUGCAUAUGAUAUGUAAACAAGUGAUAUAUGAGUCAUAUAAUCCAAGAGCACUUAUUUUUUUUACCAUAGAAUAUGAUGAAUUAGCAUGCAUUACUCACACAAUAUGGACAACUGAUAUGUGAAAAGUAACAUGUACAAUAAAUAACAUGUAACGGAAAGGUCUUAAAAAACAUAUAACACUAACAAGGUUCUUUGAAGCGGAUAACAAUAAUAUGUAAGCAUUCUAUGACAUUAGGUAACAUAUGAGAAAGUGAUCCACAAGGGCAAAUGAUAUACAAAUAGAUAAUGUAUAGAACAUGUAUUUUGUAUAAUGUUUAACAAGCAAUCUUUGGAAACUAUGAGAUAUCCUAUAGAACCACUCUACCAUAUUAAGGGAGAACACGCUAUCUUAAGCGCUAAGUCACGGGUGGGGUAGUUCUGCUCAGAUUCCUUACUCACAUCAAGGCACAUACAAUUUAUUUCCCCAUCUACGAUAUUGAAUCUCCUAACAAUUCUUAUAGGUAUUAUGCUAAUGGGACUUCGCUUCAAUCUAGGCCAAUAAAAAUAAUUCUGUUAAGAUAGAAAAAGAAAAUUCUCAAUAGUUCAUCUCUAGGAGUGGGAGGCCGAAGUGAACUUCGCCCUCAUUACUAGCUUGUGUUACAUCACACUCAAUGUAUGGUGCCUUUUGAAAGUCAUAAUAGAAAAUUAAUAGUGAACCUUGAAAUUACUCAAAAAUAUGAAAUCUAUUAACAAGUAAAUGGCAGGUACUAUAAAGUUAUGUAAGGAUUUGUAAAAUCGUAGAGUUAGCCGCUUUGGGCUUCACUAGAUAGGUCUAGCCAUAAUAAUAGAAUUCCUCUUUUUUGUUGUAUAACUUAAGGGUUCUACGACUCCUUUCCCAUGCAAUAUAGAAAAUAAGAACAACUAGAAUGUGAUCAAUAUUUCCUCUCCCUUCGAUAGACUAUUAUUAACGAAUUAAUGCAGGUAUAUAUUAAAUGAAUCAUGUAGUAACUCUAAUCAAUUUGAUUAAAGUCUAUACAUAUGUAUAAUGCUCUACUUUUCUUUUGUACUAAUUAUGUGGAUGAGCUAUGCCCAUGUAUCUUCUAUAUAGUAACGUUUCUAUUCAACUCUUAUUCUUGUUGUUAUCAAGAGCUUAUAUCAAGACUUGAAUCAAUACUAAAAUUGACUUCUUUGUCUAACAAAGGUUCACAAAAAUUUUCCUAGGUUCACCAUUAUAACUCAUUAGGGUUAAUAAUUGAUACCAUUUUCUUGCCUCAUACACUUGCAAUCACUCUUUUAUAACCACCUAUCUAACUCCUCUAGUGCAUCAUAUCAUCCCCACCCCUAUGUUUAGAAAAUUGACAUAUCCCAUCUCUUUCUAACUAGAAGCUCUACGUACAUUUUUUGCACGUUUCAUCCAAGCUUCAUUCUCACAUGCUUUCUAUCUAACAAGUACCUUUUGAUCAAAACUAGUAGCUUCUUGUACUCUAAUCCAACUAUGUACAACCUGACUAAUCACAACUUAGGUCUAGCCAAUAAAUUUUCCUUUUGUUGUUAACCUUACCCUUUAGUCAUCUCCUAAUCCUCUGUAGCAAAAACAUAGAUCCUAAUAGGCACUAACAUACAUAUAUCAUUUUCAGCAAUUAUCACCCUUAUCCUUAAGUUUUAUAACCCUAAAGAACAAAUGUUCUUAGUACUUAUUCGAUAGUAACAACAUUGCAUUGAUGCAUUCACCAAUCAGAUUGUGUCACUGCCUUCUUCCAACUAAAAGAAACUGGUUCAACUACACCACUUUUGAGUACAUGUGUAAUUCCGUCAAUUCAAUAUAUAGCACAGACUAAGAACGAGUGUCCUCUAUAGGAAUAGAUCCUACAAUUAUUGAGGAAAUAUAGAACUCAAGAGUCGAUGAUAUCCUCCUAGAUCUGCCUGGAAAUGCUAUAGCUCAUAGAUGUAACUAGGUAACCAAUCAAUUUUAAGCAUAGUAAUAACUUUCUCAAUUGAACCAAUGUGAUAUAACUGGGUACAAAUGCAACUUAAAAUGCAAAUACCAUAAAAAGCUUUACAUGCCUUAUCUGGGAUGGUAGAAAAAAAUGAGCCCAAUCUAGUCGAAAUUUUAUAACUUAUGAUCCUUUCUGUAUAUUACAUAAUGACAAUUUAGAAACGAUUAACCUUAACCAUAGUAAGCAUUAUAAGAAUAAAAUGAUCAGGUACAAGUGGAAAUUAGCUUCUUAACAUUGCUCUAUCACACAGUUUGGAUUAUGAAGAAAAGUAACAAUUGCUAAAUUCCUAAGAAAGCCCUCUAAUUAUAAAUAUGGUGCACAACACAUUCAUAAGUAAGGUUCUACUAGACAUGACUUUGUAGAUUCCCUAGGAUGAACUGCUCAAAUAACAUUUUUGUCACACCCCAACCCUAGGUGAGGCGGAAAAGUAUAAUGUUCUUCUAUUAGGGAGAACUACUAGUUGAGUGCAUGUACCUACAACAUGAAAUACAACAUCCCCAAUAAGGGAUGUUAGUACAAAAGAAUGUAAGGAAUAUUUAAGGUAUAAUACAACCAUAUGUGAAAUGAGAACUCAACUAAAACGAAAUACCAAUAGAUAGGGAUUAUUGGGUAUACUUUUGGAAUCGUGUAUGUUACAAUCUUCUCUUUACCUUUCUGUUUGUCAUACUCAUUUGAAGUUAUAUGACACAAAUGACUUGCAUAUCAAUGGUAGAAGAGGAUGACCCGUGCUAGGAAUUUUAACCCAUAGGAUGUUGACCUCAUAAUUUCACAAAUUGGGAUCUAUCCAUGUUGGGCUUUCGCCACCUUUUAUACCAAUUGCGAUCUGCCCAUGCAAGGCUUUCACCCCUGAGAUGUUCUAUACCAAUUAGAAUCGACCCAUGCUAGGCAUUUGCCUCUGGGCUUUCACCCAUAAUUAUACAGAUUGCUUCACUUAGAUAAUCUAAUCGUUGAGAUUUUUGUUUAUUAGUUCAUGAUUCUUUUGAGAUUGUUCUUUCAAUAAGCAUAACUCUUCUGAGAGUUUUGUUUUGGUGGGCAUAGUCAUUGUUGAGUCUUAGAACUAUGGACCAGUAGUAGAAGACAUAUGAAUAUGGACUUGCAAUAAUAACAAUGACAUGGGAAGCAAAUAUGACACCAACGAAAUACUUAGGAGCUUAUAUGACUCACUAAGCAUGUUGACAUCUCAAAUUAGAGAACAUCAAGUGAAGAUAUGUACAUUCAGCCAAGUGAUUUGAACUAUAUAUGAUAGCCAAAAUACUCACUAAUUAAUAUCAAAUACAAUGUAUAUAUGAUCGUUAAACCAAGGAAGAACGUGGACAAAUUCAACUUAUGGACGGAUACAUAUUCCAAGUAAGUACAUAUAAAAAUGUACAAUAGAGCAAGUAGAAAUUUUGUGAGAUAACAUUACUGUCUAACCUAGUGGCAAUAACAACUAAUAAAGAGAAUAUAUGACUAUGUGAAAAUAUGACAUUUACCAUGGAAUAGAAAGGUUAAAAACAAGUUGGUUUGAUAUAGGCAAAUUGUAUAUCAAACAUAUAAACAUAUGUACCAUGUGCAAUCUAGGAUCUUUUUGAUUUAUAUAAGGGGAAUAUAUGCCAAGGCUACAUUGACAAUAAAGUAUGUUUAAACCUUGCAUGCAAAUACUUGGUAGAGUAAGCAUGUACAUUUAGUAAUAAACUCAUAUUAUAGUACUCACUUUAAUGAUCUAGGGAGUAGGAAAGACAACUAUGAAUCAGUCACUACCAAGGGAACUUAGCAAGUGUACUCUAUAAUACAGGUGUUGGAUUCAUGCCAAUGGAAUAGAAAAUAAAAUAGCCUUAUAUACCUUAUUUUCUGACCAAUAUAAUUAUCAUGAUUCAGCUAACAUUUUUGGAGCUAAAUCUACGAUAUAAGUCAUGAUUAAUCUAAUGUUGGAAGCUAAUAACAUUUAGGCCCUCCAAAAAUAAUAGCUAAACAAUUUAUGGAAUGUAGGACCAUACAAUCCUUACACAAACGGUGAACCAUCACACCCUUCUUCUAUACAUUAAUACAACUUCAUACAUCCUUUGCAAGGUACCCAAGCUGCCUCCAACAACAAUAUACAUAAGGAAACAACUAUUAUUCCCCAAAAAUCUUUCAGCAUAACAGGAAAAUAUUUAACCAAAGGAUUUAUAACCAUCGAUGAGUUCUUGACAAAUUUAUACAAAAUUCUCCACCCAAAACCUGUAUUUAUAAUGAGGCAUAAAUGGAACUAGUAUUACCUUGGUUCUAGAAAUUUAUCCAUUAAACUUGUACUUCAAGAACUGUAUCUCUCCUUCAAACUUUUACAUGAAAAAAUGGACAAUAUUCAAGAACCAUAAGGAGUUUUAGGGAUGUUAGGUUAAUCCAAGAAAGACCAAGAGAGAAACUUAAUAAACCUUAAAUUUUGCAAGUUAAAAAUGAAGAAAAAGAUUUGAUCUUUAUCCAUUUAAAAAGGAGAUGCAUUGGCCCACUUACUAGGACAAUUUUUGGCCAUAUAUUUUCAAGUAAGUGACCCAUAUACUAGGCCUUUUAACUUGACCAUUGUGACUUCAAUACUUUUUGGGCCUUGCUUCCAAUUAUACCUAAAUUCUUGUCAAUUUUGGCUAUAAUUAAUGCAUGAAGGUGAUCCACCUACUUGGACUUUUAAAUUGAGCCUCCUUGUACUUGAGAAUAUCGGUCCUUGGCUUUCCAUUUCCCCUUAUUCUUCUAAUCCAACUUGUUCUAGAUUAAUUCAAGUAGGCUGUAGUGUUUUUGUCACAAUAGCGUGGUCAAAAGAUUCUUAGUAGGUGAUGCACCUACUUAGUUGUUUGGACGGUCAAUAAGUCAAAGUAGGUGAUGCACCUACUUAUCAAAUACUAGUAUAAUUAAGUCAAGCAAGCACCUCAAUAUUUUAUUUCAUUUUAUAGACUUGGUUUAAAUACUUCCAACGAUUUCAACUGAGACUCAUUAAUACUAGAGACCUAUUGUCAUUAGUCUCAUAUGAACCAAGUCUAUAACUAUACAUCAAAGAAAUUAUAAGCGUCCUAUAAAUAUAACUAGUAUACAUAGAAUACGGGGUGUUACACUAACAUGAUUGCCUAUCAGCAUCAAAACUUGAAACCAUUACAAAGAGCAACUGUAUGUAAAUACCCAAAUGGAAUAACAUGAAACUCAACAUGGAAUGUCCAAUUGACCAACAUACUGGUAUAAACUCUACCUACUGCCAGCACAAUGACCUACCUUACAACUCUCUAGAACCUGAGAUGCCAUCUCAAUAGGAAACAUUGGUUAAAAAGAAAGAUCUCCCUAUUUGAAUUGAUAUUUACCUCAAAGUUAAUUAUGUCACUAUUGUACUCAUGGAAGACUCUUAGCACCAUCAUUGUAAAUCUCAAGGAAUGACUGGUCCACAACCCUCACAUGACAUGGGGACAUAUAUGCCCCGUUUAUAUUUGAUGCGUUGAUGCUAACUGGAAAGGAAAAACCAACCCUCUUACCAACCCCUAACUUAACUGCUUAUCUGAAGGGAACAAUGUGAGUUUAUGCCUUACUUAAUCUAGAAAUCCCAACACAUAGUCAAAAAUGGAUGAUGAACCAUACUUGGGACCUAUCAACCCAACUCUCCUCUAAGGAUCACCAACUGCACCAAGAAAUGCACCUAUCUGAGGUGUACCCUUAGAGAAGUAGAGCACUAAAUGCACCAAGAAAUGCACCUACCUGAGGUAUACCCUUAGAGAAGGUCAGUCCUCCUAACACUGGAUACCAAGGAAUUGAGGUCGCCGAUGACCCUACCAUAGUUUGGACUUCCCCUUGACUCUCUGAAUGCUAAGGAAUGCGUGUGACUUCAAGGUCCAUGCCGAAUAAGGCCUCUUACAACGAAUUAUGUUUUUGAAAUCUUUCAAAUUGAGUUCUUGGAAAUUUCUUGAAAAGUUACCUUGAAUUUUCCUUAUCAAUUAAGUUUUAGUGUAAGUUUCUACUUGGUCAAAUUAAUAUGACCAUAUCUAGGGGUGUCAAAUGGGCAUGUCGUGUUAAAAUUAAAAAUAUUUAAUGGGUUGAAUAGAAAUUGGGUUGGGUCUUGACGUGCCCAAGUUUACUUUGGACUCAAAUGGGGGCUAAAAUAUGUGUUCGGUCUUGACCCACCCAAUUUGACUUGAUUAAUCUCAAUAAUUUAACAUAUUGAUAUUUAACUUUUAUAAUCACAAUUUGAAUUUCUACUCAUAAAUUUUUUGUUAAAAAGUAAUAAAUAGAUAUGUAAAUUCUAAAAGAUGUUAAAUAGAUAAUAAUUCAUACCUUUAAUAUAGAAAUAUAUCUUAAUAAAAAGUUUUAAAACAGGUUUAAAUUGAAGAAUGAAUUGGGCUCAAGUUAAAAUUCUCUUCAAAUGGGAUAAGCUUUAAUGGGUUGAGAUUGAACCCAAUUCAAAUUAUCUUGAGCCCAACCCGUAAGUUUUUGGCGGGUUAAGCGGGGUUACCUAUGUUUGGUUCAUUUUUGACAACCUAAUCAUAUCUCUUAGAAUAUAAGGAGUUACAUGAGCUAUAGCCUACCCAAUUAAAGGUAAUUGAAUCUACUUUCCAACACCACCAAAUUUGUUAAGGGUUUUUUUACCUCCAAAAAAACCCUAAAUGAAUUUCCUAACUAAUAAAAGGUUCAAACGAAUCAGAUUUUUAUUUUUACUAAUGAAAAUUUUAAUUAUUUUCCAUACAGAUUCCAAGAAAGUAAUUCAAGAAUCUCAAAAAAGUUUUUUGAUCAUUUACCUUUAAGAUACGGCUUCAAGGUUUCUAUUCAAGUUCUUAUCAAAGGUUCUCAAGAACGUUGUUCUUCCUAUCUAAAACCAUUUGUGAACAUCAUGAGAUAUUUUCUAUCACAAAUUAUGAUCCUUGAAUUCAUGAAUUCAAUUCAAGGAAAGUCAAGAGUCAAGCCAACAAGUUAAGAAUCAAGUCAAGAUACAAAAAUUCAAGUCAAGAAGCCGAGAGUCAAGUCAAGAUAAGUUCUUAAAGUUUUUCAAAAGUCUUUCACAAAUGUUUUAACUUGUUUUAAGACUUAGGCUACAAAGCUAAGGAUAGUGUUCAGAUUUGAAGUUCUUUUCUUCAAAGAAAGUAUAUAUGAACUAAGUAUUCCCAAAAACUACAAAAUGUUUUUCACAUUUCAAUAGCAACGAAAAAUGAGAUUUCCAAAGAGCCUUUGAGAAAGUUUUCAUAAAAGAGUAAAUGCUUUCACAUUUAAGCAAGAGGUGAAACAUUGAUUUCCAAGAUAGCCUUUUAGCUAUGUUUUUGAGCAUUAUUUAAAUCACAAAAAAAGUAUGUUUUUAAAUAUAAGAGCUAGUAUCAUAUUUGGGAGUAGUAUUGAGCAUCGAUAUGAAGGAGAGUUCAGAUAACUCACAACCCCAUAAACCAUGUACCAAUGAUGGGUAGAAAAAGUUUUUAUUUUUCAUAAUAUUUCUUUAGUGAUUUUUAGCAUAAACUAGUGGAUCAACUUAGUGAGUUAAGUGCUAUACCCUGACAAGGUAUAGGAUGGUCUUUGGUAGCAUGAGGUGAAGUGUUAUAUCAUAACUAAAGCUCUUAAGUGAUGGUUGUCGGUAAGAAAAACUCCCACAGAAGUAUUUCAUAUUUUUAUAUACAUUAGAAAUAUUUGUAUUUUUAUAUACAAAAGAAGUUCAUAUUGUAUCUUUGCGUAUAUACAAAAUUAUUAUUGUAAAUCUAAAUACACAGUUUAAAAUCAUAUUUCAGCUUUUCUUUAUACUACAUUUAUUUAUACAACUUUAUAUUGAAAUCAGUUAAGUUCAAUUGAGUUAAGUAAAGCCAAGGUAAGUGUUUCUUUCAGAAUUUUUUCCAGCCUAUGUUAUGGUAAACAUUCCAACUCUCUUAUUCGUGCAUUCAAUAUACUAAUGCAAGUUGAUCUGCAUCAUAUUAUAAUGCAGAUGCAGGUAACGAAGAUUGGUAUCCAAUGUAUUUUAAUCUAGUGAGAAGCUCAGAGUCAUUUGGUGAGCCUCCUUGCCUUCUGAAGGACUCCUUUUAUUGCUUUCAGUCAUAUUUCAGUUCAUUAGGAUGUUGUGGGGUUUGUCCCAACAUCCAUCUCAGUUAUAAAGGCUUCAUAGACAGACAGUCAAAUGUUAUUCCUUUGGGUGUUUUCAUUAUUAUUCAUUUGUUUUGGGUUGUCAUUUUUGGCCAAAUUGAAUGAUUAAUAUUAAAAUAUUCACAUUCAUUUUAUUAUUUAGUUCAGUUAAGUGCUACUAUAUUUAUAAUUAUGCCUAUUGUCUUUCGUUCAGUUAACCAAGCCAGGCCAGGGGUUCGCUUGGGGCCAGCAAUGGUCUCUGAGUGCCAGCCUCCCCUGGGGUAUAGGCUCAGGACGCUAUUUUCAACCAAGUUAUAGACAUAAAUCCUAAAUUAUCAAACUAAUUACCCACUCUUAUAAAUCUCUUUAACAAUGUUUCCUCGGCAAUGAUAACACUGACAUUGAUCUCUUCCUUGUAGGUGAUAUUGCCCACUAGAACUAUCUUAGGAUGUCGGAGGAUUUCUUGACCAUAAAGGUCCCCGUGGUCAAAUAAUGGACUUGGUGGGGUUCUGCCUAGUUCUCACGAGCUAUCCUAUGGCUUGUGUGGUGGUCCACAAUCUAUGAAGGGUCUCGUGGUCCAACUCUAUUGGGAAGAGUAACGACUAAAGUACAUGGGUAUGUCAAUGGGUAGUGGAACCUAUCACGGUCUUUGAACGCUGUUAUGGUUAACUGGUUUAGGUGAAAUUUUUCUGCACUUUUCCAAGUCUGGGUUCUGAUGCGUUACAUCUUCUUUGUGGAUGUAGGUUGAUUGAGCGAACCAUGUUAAAUUUUGUGUCAUUUGGUAUAUUUCUCAUCUAUCUUCUUACUCGUGGUAUUACAGUUUUAUUAUGCUAGCUUCCGCAUUAAACCUGUUUAUUUCGAUCCUAACAAGUUGUGUAAUACUUAUAUGAUAAUCAUGAUAUUUUUUUACGAAAAGAUAAAGAGUAAAGUACCCUAUUUCCAAUAAUUUAAAGAAUAAUUUUGAUCCUUUUUAUCCACAAGUAUAAUACUAUAAAUGCAUCAAAAUUUAAUGAUUGGAACAUGAUUUAUUAUUUUUUUCUAUCUCCGAAAUCAUAAUUUAUGGCAUGUGGUCAAACUUACUAUCAUCAUAAGAUAUUCAAAUACUCUUUAAGUUUCAUUAUGUUUUUUUCUUAUAUGAAAAGUUAAAAAGUUUAUUUUGAUUUAUUUAUUUUAGUAAUAUAAAAAAACAUUAUAUAGUAUUAAAAAUACCUAUAUUAGGUACGAAUUAUUAGUUUCAUCUCAAAACUGGUGAUUAACUUAAAAAAUAUCAAUUUAAUUGACUAACUGAACUUAAAUGUACCACUGAAUUUGAAACAUGAGCAAAAUACACCCCUAAAUUAGGGGUGAAUCUAACAUUUUCUCUCGAUUUUUUUUAUCAAGAGACUCAUGCUUCGACAAGAGUUUGAGGCAAUUUGCUAUGUCAUGCAACAGAUCGGGGGUGCAUCCAAAUUUAGUUAGUUAAGUAGAUAAAUAUUUUUAAGGUUGUCAAUUUUGUGAAGCAUCAAGAACAAAAAGUUGGGAAUCAAACCUAUAAAUGCAUUAACAUUUUAGUGAUUAACUUAUUACUAGCCAGUACUAAUAUUUAUCCAUGAACUUUAUAAGAGUUCAAUGACAGGCAAUAAGUAGAACAGAAUUCGAAUUAUUAAUAUUAGAUACAAAACCACAAGCAUAAAAGCUUCUGGUUCGGUACGAUACUAUUCUUACUCAGCAAGAUGCUGUAAAAGAUUAUCAAAUAGUAAUUUAAAGAGUUGUGACCAUGUUGAUGAUUUUUAUUUCAAAAAUGUUCCAGUGAGUGGUCUUGAUGGUGAAGUCCUGAUCGAAUUUCCAUGUUCAAGGAGCUUGUGGUGUUUCAUUCAGACCAUAUAUCGAAACAGUAAUAUGAUGUACUGUUUAUAUGGUCUAAAUCAAAAACCACAAGCUCCUUCAACAUGGAAAUUCGAUCGGGACUUCACCAUUAAAACCAGUCACUGGAUCACUUUUUAAAAACAAAGCACUAAUAUGAUCACAACUCUUUAAAUCACUGCUUGAUAAUCUUAUACAUCUAUUUUUGUUGAGUAAGAACAAUAUCUAAUAACAAGACUACAUGAAUUAGACAAACGAUUAAAGUGAGAGUUAGUUAUCUGGAUGGUCACCCAAUUUAGGAUAAAUGAUAAUUGUAGUCCCUCGAAGAUUAUCAUUUACCAUAAGUUAAAGUGAGAAUAUAAAUAACUAACACUCACUUAAAUCAUAAUUUGAAUCAUGCAAUCUUGUCAUUAUAGGGCUACAUUGUUAGCAAGAUUAUUAUUAUUUCAAAGGAUUUAGUUACUAUGAUCCAAAGUAAAACAUUUAACAUGUGAUAUUUAUUCUACUUUGUCAUCCAACUUGGUGACCAAGUAUUGUGUUACUUGGUGCCAAAGUAUUGUCUUAGUUGGCGUAAAACUGUUGCCUUCACUUGGUUACCAAAGUAAGUCAGUUAUUAACAUCCUUAUCACCUCUAUAUAAAGAAAUUGUGAUUUCACUAAGAGAGAACUAAGUGAGAACAAAUUUCCAAAAAAACAUAGAAGACACUUUUCUUUCAAACACAUUCUUUCAAUUGUCUUGUUGGUUUUGUAGUAUUUAUAUUUUGUUGAUUCUUGUAUCCUCUAAUUAAUUAUAGAAUACUUGUUCAACUCUGGGGAAACAUUUUACACUGUUGAUACUUUCUUAGGAUAGUGCCUAGCACGACUCAUGUAUUACAUAUAUUACUUAAAAUAUUAUUAUAGUUGUAUUUAUCCUAAUUGUUGUAUUAUUAUUUCGAUAUUAUAAUUUCCCCAUCUAUUAUAUAUUUCCAACAAUCUAACAAAUUAUAACAAAUAAUAUAUGUCUUUAUUCUACUAAUAAUAUUUAUAAUGGUGCUACCAUAGUGACUACAAUUCGAGUCAUGGUAUCAGAAGUUAUGGUACAACAAACUACAUAAAUGAGUCAUUCAAAGCAAAGGAAUAAAUACUGCAAGCAAACUUAGUACAAGACCAAAGUAGUAACAGCAAAAGGUAUGUUAAUAGAUCUAAUGGUUACAAGCCUUAUAGUCCCAAUUUUAACCAAGUUUACUUGUGGAAAACCAGGUCAUCAUGUCGCAUAGUUUACGAGGAGGAUAAAAAAUGACAAAGAAAAGGGCCUCACAAGGCAAAUUUAGCUGAAAGAGAUGAAUGUCAAGCCCUAGACUACACCCUAGACGGGACUGACACUCGAUGCCCAUUGCUCACAUAGUUUAUAAUUAUUUAUGUGCAUUGAUUAUGCUUAUGACUUAUGUUUUUAUCUCUUAUGCUUAUGGGUUAUGUCUUAGGUUGACUAAUACAUUUUUGUACCAACGCAUACUCUUUCCUACAUUUCAUAUCUAAAUGUAGGGUCUAGCGAUAUCGACUUCCAUCCCGGUGGCUAGGAUCAUAGUAGAGAAAAAAUUGAAGAUUGGUAUGUCCUCAUAGUAUUCUAGGAUUUUACUCCUAUUUGCUCAAUCUUUCAUUUUAUGUUUUGAACUAUUGUGUGGGUUUUGUCCCAAGAUUAUUCAUGUUUUAGAUGUUUUUACACAAAGUGUAACAAACUUGUGCUUUGAUAUUAUUGAAAAUAUAUUAAAUGUGCGGUAAAUUUAAUAAACUUAUGUUAUGAAAGCUAAGUGGCUUUGUAUGUGGUCCCUACAUGUCUUGUACACCAUGUUCUAUAUAAGGUGUACCCCUGGAUCGUGAUUUUAUAGCCCCAGAUGAUCAAGGAAGAAAUGACUUCCAAUUGCCUUUAUGGGACUUUAUCUCUCAAGCGAAUGCCGUUGUGAUAUACAACACAUCAGUCACUUCCCAACCGUACAUGUUAUAACUAUUUAUUGAUAUGAUAGAUGAAUCUAUGGAUGUAUUCAGGGAUGACUUCUCGGGUUUAGGGGAUUCAUUUAAACAGUUCUAGAAGCACUUAGAGUUGUUACUUUAAAGAUGUGUUGAUUCAAACUUGGUUCUUAAUUUGGAGAAAUGUUAUUUUAUGGUUAAGGAAGGAAUUGUGAUUUGACACAAAAAUUUUGAGAAAGUAUCGAAGUAAAUUAGGACAAAAUCCAAGUGAUUGAUAAGCAACCUCCCAAAUAUCAAUGAAGGAAAUGAGCAGUUUCCUUGGACAUGUGAGAUUCUACCAGCGAUUCAUUAGUGAUUUUUCAGAAGUUGUUAUUCCAAUGUGUCAGUGUCACAACCGAAAGUAUAACCUAGGAGUAAGACGGCGUAUCAGACCCUGAGAGGCCCUACACAAGCCCCUUAGCACGCAUAAACAAGAUAAUAGAAAUUCAAGAGAUUUUAAAAGAUAAAUCACAUCAUAGAGAGUUCGAUAAAAAUAUAGCAGAAGUUUACAUAGUCUCAAAAGCCAUCUAUUACAUCAAGAGUGAUCAGGACCCAUACCUCACAGCAAUACUGAAUAGUAAUGACAAUAUGAAAUAGAGACUCCGUGCUCAAAACAUGAGGACUUGCCAAUCCUUUAUAUCUACUAAGUGAUCCCUGACCACGGAAAUGGAAAAGUAAAAUGUCGGACCCUAUACUUAGGAAAUAAUGUAGGCAAGAGUAUGUAUUAGUACAAAAAUGACCCUAUACGUAGGAAAUAAUGUAGGCUAGAGUAUGUGUUAGUACAAAAAUGUAUCAAGUAUGAUAGAAAUGAAUAGAGUUAUGAAGUCAUGCUAAAUAGGAUAUUUCAUGAUGAUAUGCUAUAAUUCUAGAAGCCCUAGGUCUAUUCAUAAUAAUGGAAUAAGGAAACUGACUGAAUUCUAGGGACCCAAUGGGAUAAAGGAACCCACUAGCAAAAUUCCACAUGCCUGGCGAUGAAUUCCACGGAGAAAUCUUUCGAUUCUGGCCUAGAAUAGAUGGAAACUUUCCGCGUUCUUGACAUUUUUCUCCUCUCUUUCUUCUAAUUUUCUAAGUGUUGAUUAAUGAUUUUUCUUUAGGUAAGUUCUAGUUAUUUUUCUAGGCUUAAAUAGAAUAAAACAUCAUGAUUUUGAGACUAAAUGAUGUAGCUUAGGGGACAAAUGAACAAGGAAAAUAUUAAAAGACCCCUGACUUAAACGCUCUUGGAAUCACUGACGGACCGAAUGUCGACUGACGGUCCAUACUGGUCGAUCGUCGUUUGUGAUUGAGAACUUAAUGUUGAAUGGCCCAUCGGCAGAGUCAACGAGCGGACCGUAAGUCGACUGACGGUUCGUACUGGUCGACCGUUCUUCGUUUCUAAAAUUGGAAGUUAGCUGGUCAAUCGACGGAUUCAAAUGGCGGUCUGUACUGGUCGACUAUCAUUUGCGACUAAGAACUGGGAGUUGACUGACCCGUCGACUGACGGUCCGUAGUUGGCUCCGUCGAUGACACCUACAACUUCUAAAAAUCUUCAUUUUGGUAUGUUUUGGAUAUAGGGUUUUACAUUAAUCCAUUCACAUAUCAAGCAAAAAAUGUUUCCUUCGAACAAACACAAUCGGAGAAACAAUGGAGAGAUACAUGGUCGGAUAAAAGAAUUAUCUAAAAAAUCGUUCUAUUGCUCUUUCAUAUCAUUAUGCUCUGUUGGAUCCAUUUAGUAAGAUGGAAUAAAGAUAGGUUGUGUAUGUACGAGAAGGUCAAUAACUCUUUUGGAGGAAUAUUAGAUAUACAAUCUAGAAACACUUCCAGAAACUCAUACAUAAAGGGAACCGACUCAAAAGUAGGAGUUUUAGAACCCAUAUCCCUCACCCUAAUGAGAUGGUAUAUGAAACCCUUGGAAAUCAUCUUUCUACAUUUAUGACAAGAAACAAACCGACCAUUCGACAUAGAAAUUCCUCCUUCCCACUCUAGGAUAGUCUCAAUAAAAGCAUAACAAGAAGGAAACCAAUACAUACCAAGGACAUCAAUAUCUAGAAGAUAAAUAUCUACAAAAUCAACAUGAGUAGAGAUAAGGAAACAUGGCAAUUUCUAUAUACUCUAUUAGCAACAAUAGAUUCACUAAUAGGAGUAGAGAUAGAAAACAGGUCUAACAAAACAUCAUGAAGAAUAUCAAACCUCAUAUCGACAUAUGGCGUCGCAAAAGAUAAGGUAUAACUAGGAUAAGUCAUAACAUAAAAAUCAAGAUGAAAGCCUUGCAACAUAUCGUAAGACACAUUAGGAAAACCCUCUUGCUCUCAGAAAGUCUGGAGUGCAUGAAAUAUGUUUUUGCUUUGAGCACUUGAACCUAAUCCACUAGGUGGAGGUUUCCUGCCUUUGUAUCACAACCCUCAAAAUAAAAUAGGUCAAACUAGAGCUUAUUGUGUGUGUAAUGAGUUAAUAAUGUGUUAAAAGGAUGAGUAUUAGAAUUUGUAGUCAGAUUAUAGAGUUUGGAAGUCAAACGUCAAGAAACGACCAAGACGUUUGGACAUAUCGUAUUAAAGGUUCAUAAUCUUGAUAAAACGUUAAUCUUUGGUUAUACUCCUUGCUGGUUCAUGUUGAUUGUUCUAUUGAGUUAUAAGAAAUGAUUUUAAUUGCAUAUAGUUGCUCAUAAUAUUCUGCUCAUGCAUAGUCAUUUAUCAUUUCACCGAGUCCCGGGCCAGGUAAUGUUCGUGCGGAGUUUCUUGCAUAUGUCACUGAGUCCCUCACUAGAGGGUCGGGUAUGUAUAUUAUAUAUAUGAUUGGUGAUGAGGAUGGUUAUGAUAAUGAUGAUGACGGAGAUGAUGUGAUGAUUAUUUCACCGAGUCCCUCACUAGAGGGCCGGGUACGUAUGAUGUAUAUAUAUGAUAAUUAUUUUGCCGAGUCCCUUACUAGGGAAGCUGGGCACGUUAUAUGUUAAAGAUAUGCAUGAUUUUCACUUAAAAGGUACAUGCGUAGCGAUAUCUUGUUUUGACUUAUCAUGUUGGUAUCCUGUCAUCUUUACCUUAUGCUUUACAUACUCAGUACAUUGUCCGUACUUUUCCCCUUUCCUUGGGGGGCUGCGUUUCAUGCCCGCAAGUGUAGAUGCACAGUUCUGUGAUCCUCCCGCCUAGGAUAUCUACUCUGCUGAUUGGGAGAGAUCCACUGUUCCGGAGCCCAGUCGUUUUGGUACAUAACUUUUUGUGUAGUCUUUUGCUUGUCUAUGGGUAUGGCGGGCCCCUGUCCCGUCGAGUUUCACUACUAUACUCUUAGAGGUCUGUGGACAUUAUGUGGGUUGCAUAUAUAUGUUUUGAAUAAUGGUCUGGACAUGGUUUGUUUGGGAUGUCCACUUGUACAGGGGCAGCCUUGUUGGCUGCGUACAUCAUUGUGUAUGUGUAGUGGCAGCCUUGUCGGCUCGCGUAUGUUGUUACGGUUGAAUGGUUAUGACUCCUUAUGAGACAGGUCCACUUUAUAUAUAUAUGGCGUUGAGGUUGUCUUGAUUUGAUUAAAUUUCAUAUUGUCUUAGUUUCAGUUGGUUAUACUUAGCAGGUUUGUAUGUGACUGUCCAAAACAGGCACUAGUCACGGCCCAUCGGGUUGGGUCGUGACAAAGAGUGGUAUCAGAGCGGUUCUUCCUCAGAAGUGUCUACAGACCGUGUCUAGUAGAGUCUUGUUUAUCGGUGUGUUGUGCACCACAUCUAUAAAAAGGAAGCUACAGGAUGUUUAGGAUAUCAUCCUUUCUUCUUAUUCUAGAUCGUGCGAUAAAGCGACAGCCGCCAGAAGGGAAAAUCGGUAGCAGAAGGUACUAGUCAGACCCGGAGAGUUACUAGGGCCCGUGCCCAGUCUAUGCCUGGUAUUGUGCUCUAGUCGGAGAGCUCUGCUACACCACCACCGCCAGAGGAGCUUAGAGCAGCAGCAGCUCCAGUUCGGGGGACACCACCACCAGCCCCGAGGCCCCAGCACCUGAACCUCCAGCUCUUCAGCCAGGGGUGGAGGAUAGGGCCAUGAGAGAUGCGGUUCAGUUGCUGACUAGAUUAUUGGCAGGUCAGGCUCACAAGAAUGGACUAGGAGUUGAUCAUGCGGACAAAUCUGAUAGCUUAAGGGCUCGUGACUUCUUAAGUUGUAAUCCUCUAGAGUUCUUUUGGUCAAGGCCCCAGGAUGAUCCGCAAGAGUUUAUUCGUCAGAUGCAGCAUACAUUGAGGAUAAUCAAGGCUUCGGAGAUCGAGUCUGUUGAGUUGGCUACAUAUCAUUUGCGGGAUGUAGCUAUUAAUUGGUAUGAGUCUUGGGAGUUAUCUAGGGGUGAGGGUGCUCCUCCAGCUGUAUGGGAUGAAUUUGUGGAGGCUUUCCAGGGCCACUUCCUGCCUUCCGAGAUGAAGCGAGCAAGAGUCGAUAGAUUCUUGCAUUUGUGGCAGAAUGGCAAGAGCGUUCGAGAGUAUAGCCUUGAGUUUGAUUCAUUUGGCUAGGCAUGCGCCUAUUAUUGUGGCUGAUAUGGCAGACAGGGUACAUCGUUAUGUGAUGGGAUUGGAUUGUUAUUUGAUUGACGGUUGUAUGGCAGUGACUCUUCAGCCAGGUAUGGACAUUGCUCGGGUGCAGGCAUAUGCCCAGGGGGUAGAGGAUCGGCACCGGGGACGUCAUCCAGAUAGAGAUUAUAAUACAUGCCAGCAUAAGAGGGCUAGAUCAGAGGGCUCAGCAGCAUUUUAGAUUUUCCUCCCAGCCAACACAGAGUGCACCCCCACGUUCCAUGGGUAGGGGGUUCGAUCGUACGGGAUAUUCAGAAGCUGGUCAGAGCUCUAGGGCGUCAGGGUCACAGAUGGGCAGGGGUUUGAGCCAGUCGAGGCCACCUUUGUCUUGGUGUUCUCGCUAUGGUAGGUCGCAUCCUGGGGAAUGUCGUUGGGCUACAGGUGCAUGUUUUUCUUGCAGCCGUCAGGGUCAUACUAUGAGGGAGUGUCACCUUAGAGGUAGUGCAGGUGGUAUGGCACAACUUACAGGGUCCGUUACCGGUUCAUCUUCUUCUAUGGCUAUGCUCCGUACGGGGUAGGGUAUUCAGGCGCCAGCAGGUUGUGGUAGAGGAUGCGGUGGAGCUUCCAGUUCUAGCGGUCCCUCGAAUCGUAUAUAUCUGUUGACUAAUAGGAAGGAUCAGGAGGCGUCACCUAAUGUGAUCACAUGUAUAUUAUCACUAUUCUCCCGAAGUGUGUAUGCAUUGAUAAAUCCAGGUUCCACCUUAUCAUUUAUAUCUCCCUUCGUUGCUAGUAGGAUCGGAAUAGAGUCUGAGUUGAUAGAACCAUUUGAGGUAGCUACACCUGUAGGAGAUUUUGUCAUAGCUACGCGAAUAUAUAAGAAUUGUUCAGUUGUUAUAUAUAAUAAUCGUACCAUAGCAGAUCUAAUAGAAUUAAAUAUGAUUGAGUUUGAUAUUAUCAUGGGCAUGGAUUGGUUGGCUACUUGUUAUGCUAAUGUUGAUUGCAAAGGAAAGAUAGUUUGAUUUCAAUUUCCAGGGGAACCGAUUAUAGAGUGGAAGGGGAGUACAGUAUCGCCGAAAGGUAAGUUAAUUUCAUACCUUAAGGUAGGGAAGAUGGUUAGAAAAGACUAUAUUUAUCAUCUGGUUCGGGUGCAUGACAUAAAGGCAGAGGCACCAACUCUUCAAUCAGUCCCAAUAGUUAAUGAAUUUCCCGAUGUAUUCUUAGAGGAACUUCUAGGCCUUCCUCCAGAACAAGAGAUGGAGUUUACUAUAGAUGUACUGCCAGAUACCCAGCCUAUAUCUAUACCUCCUUAUAGAAUGGCACCUGCUGAGUUGAAAGAAUUGAAAGAGCAAUUAAGAGAUUUGCUAGAAAAGGGCUUCAUCAGGCCUAGUACGUCACCUUGGAGAGCACCGGUACUAUUUGUGAGGAAGAAGGAUGGGUCGCUGCGGAUGUGUAUUGAUUAUAGGCAGCUAAACAAAGUAACAGUAAAGAACAGGUAUCCCCUCCCAAGGAUUGACGAUCUCUUUGACCAGCUGCAGGGUGCUAAGUGUUUUUCAAAGAUAGACUUGCUGUCAGGUUAUCAUCAGGUGCGGGUAAGGGAGGCAGAUAUUACAAAGACGGCAUUCUGGACUAGAUAUGGGCAUUAUGAGUUUAGAGUGCUGUCUUUUGAGAUGACUAAUGCUCCAGUGGUGUUUAUGGAUUUAAUGAAUCGAGUGUUUAAACCAUUCCUUGAUAUGUUUGUUAUUGUACUUAUAGACGAUAUUCUGGUCUAUUCUCGUUCAGAAGAGGAGCAUGCAGAUCAUUUAAGGACGGUACUUAGGGUGCUUCAGCACCAGAAGUUGUAUGUUAAGUUUUCUAAGUGCGAGUUCUGGUUGACUUCAGUGGCAUUCUUGGGGCAUAUUAUUGGAGCUGAUGGUAUUCGGGUAGACACGCAGAAGAUUGAGGUGGUAAAGACUUGGCCCAAAUCUACGACACCUACUGAGGUACGCAGCUUUCUGGGGUUACCAGGAUAUUACAGGAGAUUCGUAGAAAAAUUUGCCUCAAUUUCAGCGCCUUUAACAAGGCUAACUCAAAAGGCAGCCAAAAUCCAGUGGAUUGAUGCUUGUGAGCGAAGCUUCCAGCUAUUGAAAGACAAAUUGACUACAGCUCCAGUCCUAACUCUUCCGGAGGGACCAGACGGCUAUGUUAUUUAUUGUGAUGCUUCGGGAGAUUCAGCGGCUAUCCAGCCUUGGAGUCCGUCUGGCUAAUUCAGAAGACAGUGGAGUUUCUAUUCAAGAGGUUGCUGAGUCCUCAAUCAUAAAUGAGGUAAAGAGACACCAAUACGAGGACCCUAUUAUGGCACAGUAUAGAGAUACAGCUCUUCAAAAGGAAAAGACCCCAUUUAAGGUUACACCUGACGGAGUGUUACGAUAUGAAGGUAGAUUGUGUGUACCCGAUAUUGCGGGGCUACGACGGCAGGUUAUGGGAGAGGCACACUCUACCCGUAAUUUUAUUCUCCUAGGGUCAACGAAAAUGUAUCAUGACCUCAGAUGCUUAUACUGGUGGGAUGGCAUGAAAAAGUACAUAGCGGAGUUUGUUGCUCAGUGCCCGAAUUGUCAACAAGUCAAGAUCGAACAUCAAAAGCCUGGUGGAUUAUUACAGGACAUAGAGAUCCCGACUUGGAAAUGGGAGAUGAUUAAUAUAGACUUCAUUAUAGGCUUACCUCGCACUCAACGGAAGUAUGACGCUAUAUGGGUUAUUGUAGAUAGGCUGACGAAAUCGUCCCAUUUUCUUCCGGUCAGGACUACUUAUUCAGCUGAAUUAUGCGAGGUUGUAUGUCAAGGAGAUAGUGACACUUCAUGGAGUUCCCACGUCCAUUAUAUCAGACAGAGGAGCUCAAUUUACAGCCAACUUUUGGAGAUCGUUUCAGAAGGGAUUGGGGACACAGGUGAACCCUAGCACAACAUUUCACCCUCAGACUGAUGGGCAGGCUGAGCGUACUAUUCAGACAUUAGAAGAUAUGUUGCGGGUCUGUAUUAUUGACUUCAAAGGUAGCUGGGAUGACCACUUGCCACUCAUUGAGUUUGCCUAUAAUAAUAGCUACCAUUCUAGUAUCCAAAUGGCACCGUACGAGGCCUUAUAUGGGAGGAAGUGCAGGUCACCUAUUGGUUGGUUUGAUUUUGGCGAGACUAAGUUAAUAGGCCCGAAUAUGAUUCAGCAAGAUGUUGACAAGGUGAAGCUUAUUCAAGAAAGAUUAUUAGCAGCCCAGAGUCGACAGAAGUCAUAUGCAGAUAAUCGGCGUCGAGAUCUGGAGUUUCAGAUUGGUGAUUGGGUAUUCCUGAAGGUAUCACCCAUGAGGGGUGUGAUGAGAUUCGGCAGGAAGGGGAAGCUCAGUCCAAGAUACAUUGGGCCUUAUCAUAUUGUUCGUAGGAUAAGCAAGGUUGCCUAUGAGUUGGAUCUACCAUCUGAUUUGGAGACGGUACAUCCAGUCUUCCAUGUAUCGAUGCUACGUAAAUGUAUUGGUUAUCCUUCUAGAGUAUUCCCCGUAGAUGAUGUUCAGGUAACAGAGGAGUUGUCAUAUGAGGAAAAACCCGUAGCUAUACUUGAUCGCCAGGUUAGAAGGUUACGUACUAAGGAUGUGGCUUCCGUCAAAGUGUUGUGGCAAAAUAACAAUAGGGAGGAGAUGACUUGGGAAGCGAAAGACGAAAUGAAGAAUAAGUAUCCUUAAUUGUUCCCCGUAACUGCAGGUAAUUCAAUUCCUAGCUUGACUAUAUUGAUUGAUAAGCGAGAUUAUGUAGUAAGUUGUGACUCUGUGAGGCAUCUGUACGUUACGAAAUGUAGGUUGAUAGAUAUAACUGUUAGAGAGACCUCGCUGGAAUUUGUUUUUGUAAGACGCUAACUUAACAUUCGAGGACGAAUGUUCCUAAGGGGGGAAGGAUGUUAUGCCUCGUAUUUUUUGUACGUAGUGCGCAUCAUGAUCUAGUAGACGUAAGUCCGGGGAAUGAGAUUUUAUUUUAAGUUCCAAGUGAUUAAAGAAAUAUUAGGCAAGGAUGUUAAUUCCAAAUGUGAUAUUAAGUAUGAGUUGGCUAAUGUAAGUGCCAUUAACUUUAAGUGAGGGAUUAAUUAGUGACUGAGUAGGAUUAAUUUAAUCCAAUGGGCCCCACCACUCAUAAUUGGUGGCUGAUUAGGAUUAAUUUAAUCCAGUGGGCCCCACCACUCAAGGCAAAAAUUAAAAAAGGGAUCAGAUUGUGAGCUGGCCUUAGAGGACAGGUGUAGAGGGGGGCUGCCUCCACUUCAUACUAUUAAAUGAGGUGGAGAAAUUCACUCCAUGCUAAAUAAAGUGGUGAAAUGCAUUGCUGCAUAUCUUCUUCUUCACCACUUGUCUUAGGCAGCCAUGGAAAUGGAGAAACCAACCCUGCAACUCUUGGCCAUCAGCUGCAAAUAAUUUGGUUAGUAAUCUCCUUGUUUGGUGUGUUAAUUCUUUAGAAUACCUUUGUUAAUUAUCCAUUAAUUUUAAGAAGGGGGUGUGACCAGUAGCUUAGGAAGUUUGUUUUAGUUAUUGAAUGUGCUAAGUAUGAACGGAAACCAUAAUCGGAUUAUUAGUGGUGUCGUGUUGGUGCUUGGGCUGUUUUGAUUAAAGCAAACUGCAACAAAAGUCUUAGGCCGAUCAUACGAGAAGGGAUUUGGAGUUUUAAAAAGGUGAUAAGGUGUAUUUGAAAAUUUCACCAAUGAAAGGGGUGGUUAGAUUUGGCAAGAAGAGGAAAUUGAUUCCUCGUUAUGUGGGUCCCUAUUAAAUUUUGCAAUGGGAUAGUAAGGUGGGCUAUGAAUUAGAACUCCCUAGAGAUUGGGUUUGGUUCAUCCGAUUUUCCAUUUUUCUAUGUUGAAGAAGUGUAUCGGUGAUCUUGAGUCCAUUAUUCCUAUUGAGGAUCUCGAUUUCAAGGAUAACCUCAAUUAUGAGAAAGUUCCAAUUCAAAUUCUUGAUAGGCAACUCAACAAGUUAAGGAAUAAAGAGGUGAUUUCUAUAAAUGUGUUAUGGAAGAAUCACGUAGUUGAGGGUGCAACAUGGGAGACUGAGGCCGCCAUGAAGUCCCGUUACCCUCAUCUUUUUAAUAAUUAAGAUUAGUCAUUCUUUUUAAUAACAUAUUAUGACUAGGAAUUGAAGUUUCAUGAUUUUUGGUGAAGUCUUGCAAAAAUGUGCAUUUUUGGUUGCAUUACAGUGAAGUAGUACCUUUGAAACUUGAAAUUUUGCCUUUUUGGUUUAUCUGUGUUAUGAUGCAUUUAGACAUGGUGAUUCUUAGUGAUAAGUUAUGUGAACUAUUAAUAAGUUUAAAUUUGUGGUAACUGCCUCAUGUAAUGUAUGUUGAGGUCAUGUGUGUUAUGAGAAGGAAAUACCUCAUGAUGAAGUAUUUUGAGCCUUAUGUGUGAUAACUGGAGUUUUGAAAUUUGCCUAGUUGAAAUGAUAUGAUUUAUGUUGAUUUUAUAUUGUUGAUUGGUUGGGCUUCUAGUCUUGAGUCUAUUCCUUCCUUCAAAAGAGUUUUAGUGUCAUUCGGAACGAAUGUUCCUAGGGUAGGGGGGGGGUAAUGUAACGCUUAAAAAUCCAAGAUGAGUCUUAGAGCCUAUUUUAAUGAAUAUAGGUCAUUUAGGAAGUUUAAGAAUAAGAACGUCGAUGGCAUUCGAAAACUAGUUCUAAUGGGUAUCAGUGUGCCUUAGCCUAUUUGACUAGAUUUUAGGAGUUGGAAAUCCAUGAAAUUAGGUGGAAGGGUUAAUAACAUGUGUUUAAGGUGAUUCGUGGUCGAAACUUCCGGGUACGACUCACCAAGGACCAACCACAAGGGACCUUGAAGAGGACCUUUGCAAGUUGAUGUAAACACUGCCUGGGCAGUGUUUAUCGACGAGAUGAAGGCAAUGAUUGUGUAUGGAUCGACGGUUUGUCAUUGACAACCGUGGAUCAUACAUAGAGAAAUGGAGAAAGCCUCCGCCUGCAACAGUCUCUGACCAAGACGAUGGUUGUGCAGGACAGAGGGGGUACCAACCGUCGACUCACAGACGGCCCGUCGACUGGGUUCCGUUUGUGAGUGUCAAUGUUUUCCUGCAUGUUUUAAUAUUUUUCAUUUAAUUAGUUGAGGGGUUAGGAGGUUAAUUAGGGUUUAAGUGAGUCUAACUAAGUUAAUUAGUGUUAUGCCUCAUAUUUUUUUUUAUACAUAGUGCGCAUCGUGAUCUAGAAGACGUAAAUAAAUAUUAGGCAAGGAUGUUAUUUCCAAAUGUGAUAUUAAGUAUGAGUUGGCUAAUGUAAGUGCCAUUAACUUUAAGUGAGGGAUUAAUUAGUGGCUAAUUUGGAUUGAUUUAAUCCAAUGGGCCCCACCACUCAAGGCAAAAAUUAAAAAGGGAUCAGAUUGUGGGCUGACCUUAGUGGACAGGUGUAGAGGGGGGCUGCCUCCACUUCAUACUAUUAAAUGAGGUGGAGAAAUCCACUCCAUGCUAUAUAAAGUGGUGAAAUGCAUUGCUGCAUAUCAUCUUCUUCUUCACCACUUGUCUUAGGCAGCCAUGGAAAUGGAGAAACCAACCCUGCAACUCUUGGCCAGCAGCUGCAAAUAAUUUGGUUAGUAAUCUCCUUGUUUGGUGUUAAUUCUUUAGAAUACCCUUGUUAAUUAUCCAUUAAUUUUAAGAAGGGGGCGUGACCAGUAGCUUAGGAAGUUUGUUUUAGUUAUUGAAUGUGCUGAGUAUGAAUGGAAACCAUAACCGGAUUAUUAGUGGUGUCGUGUUGGUGCUUGGGCUGUUUUGAUUAAAGCAAACUGCAGGAAAAUUCUGUUUUGGCAUUAUGUAUAUGUUGAAUGUGAUUAUGAGUAUAUACUCCAAAGGAUGAAUACGAUAAGGUAGAUGUGUUGCGAAUUAUAAAACGAGUUAUCGCUCGGUGUGUCGUUGCUUCGCUGCUAUAGUUGCCGAGAUGGAACUGUUUUGGGGAGGGGGCUGUUUAAUAUGAUUCUUUGGGUUACAUGUGUUAUUGGUAUUGCUGUGGAUAAUUUGGAUUGUUGUCGGAUUGGGACGAAGUAAGGAAAAUAGGGGAGGUGCUGCCGAAUUUUCGUUAGAUUAUUAGCUAGCUUACAAGAAAGUAAAGCACGAUGUUUAUCUAAUUGCGGCACGAUUGUUGCUUGUUAUAGAUUAAUAGCUUGAGCAGUAAAUAUUGGACGUGCGGCUCGAUUAUACGGUAUGUAACGCUGUCCCUUCUUUCUUUGCUUGGCAUGACUUUUAAAAAUAAGCGAAUAACGGACAGAUUUGAUACUUACCUCUAAAGCGUCUAGGUGAUGUAUAUUCUUGCUUCCACAAUUAUUCCUCUAUAUAUCGGCUAUGUCUAAGGCUAUGAUGAUCUCUAAUAUCUGUGGUAAUGCUUCUUAGAUACAUUGAGAUUUUACGUUUCCAUAUCGUAUUAAAGGUUCAUAAUCUUGAUAAAACAUUAAUCUUUGGUAAUACUCCUUGCUGGUUCACGUUGAUUGUUCUAUUGAGUUAUAAGGAAUGAUUUUAAUUGCAUAUGGUUGCUCAUAAUAUUCUGCUCGUGCAUAGAGUCAUUUAUCAUUUCACCGAGUCCCGGGCCGGGUAAUGUUCGUGCGGAGUUUCUUGCAUAUGUCACCGAGUUCCUCACUAGAGGGCCGGGUAUGUAUAUUAUAUAUAUGAUUGGUGAUGAGGAUGGUUAUGAUGAUGAUGAUGACGGAGAUGACGUGAUGAUUAUUUUGCCGAGCCCCUUACUAGGGAAGCUGGGCACCUUAAAUGUUAAAUAUAUGCAUGAUUUUCACUUAAAAAGUAUAUGUGUAGCGAUAUUUUGUUUCGACUUGCCACAUUGGUAUCCUGUCAUCUUUACCUUAUGCUUUACAUACUCAGUACAUUGUCCGUACUGACCCCCCUUUCCUCGGGGGGCUGCGUUUCAUGCCCGCAGGUGUAGACGCGCAAUUCGGUGAUCCUCCCGCCUAGGAUAUCUACUCUGCUGAUUGGGAGAGCUCCACUGUUCCGGAGCCCAGUCAUUUUGGUACAUAACUUUUGUGUAGUCUUUUGCUCGUCUAUGGGUAUGGCGGGGCCCUGUCCCAUCGAGUUUCACUAAUGUACUCUUAGAGGUCUGUGGACAUUAUGUGGGUUGUAUAUAUAUGUUUUGGAUAAUGGUCUGGACAUGGUUUGUUUGGGAUGUCCGCUUGUACAGGGGCAGCCUUGUCGGCUGCGUACAUCAUUAUGCUUUGAAUAGUGGCGGCCUUGUCGGCUCGCGUAUGCUGUUAUGGUUGAAUGGUUAUGACUCCUUAUGAGACAGGUCCUCUUAUAUAUAUAUGACGUUGGGGUUGGCUUGAUUUGAUUAAAUUCCAUAUUGUCUUAGUUUCAGUUGGUCAUACUUAGCAGGUUUGUAUGUGGGUGUCCAAAACGGGCACUAAUCACGGCCUAUUGGGUUGGGUCGUGACAAAGAGUGGUAUCAGAGCGGUUCUUCCUCGGAAGUGUCUACAGACCGUGUCUAGUAGAGUCUUGUUUAUUGGUGUGUUGUGCACCACAUCUAUAAACAGGAAGCUACAGGACAUUUAGGAUGUCAUUCUUUCUUCUUAUUCUAGAUCGUGCGAUAGAGCUAUAUUAACAGGAUAAUCCCUCUCUAACGAAUCCGUGUGUUUUCAGCUAUGCCUCCAAAGAAAGCGACAGCCGCCCAGAAGGGAAAAUCGGUAGAAGAAGGUACUAGUCAGACCCGGAGAGUUACUCGGGCCCGUGCCCAGUCUAUGCCGGUAUUAUGCUCCAGUUGGAGAGCUCUGCUACACCCCCACCGCCAGAAGAGCUUAGAGCAGCAGCAGCUCCAGUUCGGGGGACACCACCAGCCCCCGAGGCCCCAACAUCUGAACCUCCAGCUCCUCAGUCAGGGGCGGAGGAUAGGGCCAUGAGAGAUGCGGUUCAAUUGCUGACUAGAUUAGUGGCAGAUCAGGCUCGCAGGCAUGGACUAGGAGUUGAUCAUGCGGACAGAUCUGAUAGCUUAAGGGCUCGUGACUUCUUAAGUUGUAAUCCUCCAGAGUUCUUUGGGUCAAGGCCACAGGAUGAUCCGCAAGAGUUUAUUCGUCAGAUGCAGCGUACAUUGAGGAUAAUCAAGGCUUCAGAGACCGAGUCUGUUGGGUUGGCUACGUAUCGUUUGCGGGAUGUAGCUAUUAAUUGGUAUGAGUCUUGGGAGUUAUCUAGGGGUGAGGGUGCCCCUCCAGCGGUAUGGGAUGAAUUUGUGGAGGCUUUCCAGGGCCACUUCCUGCCUCCAGAGAUGAAGCGAGCUAGAGUCGAUAAAUUCUUGCGUUUGAAGCAAAAUGGCAGGAGCGUUCGAGAGUAUAGCCUCGAGUUUGAUUCAUUGGCUAGGCAUGCGCCUUCUAUUGUGGCUGAUAUGGCAGACAGGGUACAUCGUUAUGUGAUGGGAUUGGAUCGUUAUCUGAUUGACGGUUGUAUGGCAGUGACUCUUCAGCCAGGUAUGGACAUUGCUCGGGUGCAGGCAUAUGCACAGGGGGUAGAGGAUCGGCACCGGGGACGUCAGCCAGAUAGAGAUUAUAAUAGUGGCCAGCAUAAGAGGGCUAGAUCAGCAGGUUAUCCUGACGAGUUUCAAAGCGGGCAGUCUCAGCAGCAUGUUAGAUUUUCUUCCCAGCCAGCACAGAGUGCCCCCCACGUUUCAUGGGUAGGGGGUUCGAUCGUAUGGGAUAUUCGGAACCUGGUCAGAGCUCUAGGGCGUCAGGGUCACAGAUGGGCAGGGGUUUGAGCCAGUCGAGGCCACUUUUGCCUCGGUUUUCUCGUUGUGGUAAGUCUCAUCCUGGGGAAUGUCGUUGGGCUACAGGUGCGUGUUUUUCUUGCGGCCGUCAGGGCCAUACUAUGAGGGAGUGUCACCUUAGAGGUAGUGCAGGUUGUAAGGCACAGCCUACAGGGUCCGUUGCUGGUUCAUCUUCUUCUGUGGCUAUGCGCCCUACGGGGCAGGGUAUUCAGGCACCACCAGGUCGUGGUAGAGGACGUGGUGGAGCUUCCAGUUCUAGUGGUCCCUCAAACCGUAUAUAUGCUUUGACUAAUAGGUAAGAUCAAGAGGCGUCACCUAAUGUGAUCACAGGUAUAUUAUCACUAUUCUCCCGAAGUGUGUAUGCAUUGAUAGACCCAGGUUCCACCUUAUCAUAUAUAUCUCCCUUUUUUGCUAGUAGGAUCGGAAUAGAGUCUGAGUUGAUAGAACCAUUUGAGGUAGCUACACCUGUAGGAGAUUUUGUCAUAGCUACGCGAGUAUAUAGGAAUUGUUCAGUAGCUAUAUAUAGUCAUCAUACCGUAGCAGAUCUAAUAGAGUUAAAUAUGAUUGAGUUUGAUAUUAUCACGGGCAUGGAUUGGUUGGCUGCUUGUUAUGCUAAUGUUGAUUGCAGAGGAAAGAUAGUUUGAUUUCAAUUUCCAGGGGAACCGAUUAUAGAGUGGAAGGGAAGUACAGUAUCGCCGAAAGGUAAGUUCAUUUCAUACCUCAAGGCCGGGAAGAUGGUUAGAAAAGGCUAUAUUUACCAUCUGAUUCGGGUGCAUGACAUAAAGGCAGAGGCACCGACUCUUCAAUCAGUCCCGGUAGUUAAUGAAUUUCCUGAUGUAUUCCCCGAGGAACUUCCAGGCCUUCCUCCAGAAUGGGAGAUAGAGUUUACUAUAGAUGUACUGCCAGAUACCCAGCCUAUAUCUAUACCUCCUUAUAGAAUGGCACCUGCUGAGUUGAAAGAAUUGAAAGAGCAAUUGAGGGAUUUGCUAGAAAAGGGCUUCAUCAGGCCUAGUACGUCACCUUGGGGAGCACCAGUACUGUUUGUGAGGAAGAAGGAUGGGUCGCUGCGGAUGUGCAUUGAUUAUAGGCAGUUGAACAAAGUAACAAUAAAGAACAGGUAUCCCCUCCCAAGGAUUGACGAUCUAUUUGACCAGUUGCAGGGUGCAAAGUGUUUUUCAAAGAUAGACUUGCGGUCAGGUUAUCAUCAGGUGCGGGUAAGGGAGGCAGAUAUUCAAAAGACAGCAUUCCGUACUAGAUAUGGGCAUUAUGAGUUUAGAGUGCUGUCUUUUGGGCUGACUAAUGCUCCAGUGGUGUUUAUGGAUUUAAUGAAUCGAGUGUUUAAACCAUUCCUUGAUAUGUUUGUUAUUGUACUUAUAGACGAUAUUCUGGUCUAUUCUCGUUCAGAAGAGGAGCAUGCAGAUCAUUUAAGGACGGUACUUAGGGUGCUUCAGCACCAGAAGUUGUAUGUUAAGUUUUCUAAGUGCGAGUUCUGGUUGACUUCAGUGGCAUUCUUGGGGCAUAAUAUUGGAGCUAAUGGUAUUCGGGUAGACACGCAGAAGAUUCAGGUGGUAAAGACUUGGCCCAAAUCUACGACACCUACUGAGGUACGCAGCUUUCUGGGGUUAGCAGGAUAUUACAGGAGAUUCGUAGAAAAAUUUGCCUCAAUUUCAGCGCCUUUAACAAGGCUAACUCAAAAGGCAGCCAAAAUCCAGUGGAUUGAUGCUUGUGAGCGAAGCUUCCAGCUAUUGAAAGACAAAUUGACUACAGCUCCAGUCCUAACUCUUCCGGAGGGACCAGACGGCUAUGUUAUUUAUUGUGAUGCUUCGGGAGAUUCAGCGGCUAUCCAGCCUUGGAGUCCGUCUGGCUAAUUCAGAAGAUAGUGGAGUUUCUAUUCAAGAGGUUGCUGAGUCCUCAAUCAUAAAUGAGGUAAAGAGACACCAAUACGAGGACCCUAUUAUGGCACAAUAUAGAGAUACAGCUCUUCAAAAGGAAAAGACCCCAUUUAAGGUUACACCUGACGGAGUGUUACGAUAUGAAGGUAGAUUGUGUGUACCCGAUAUUGCGGGGCUACGACGGCAGGUUAUGGGAGAGGCACACUCUACCCGUAAUUUUAUUCUCCUAGGGUCAACGAAAAUGUAUCAUGACCUCAGAUGCUUAUACUGGUGGGAUGGCAUGAAAAAGUACAUAGCGGAGUUUGUUGCUCAGUGCCCGAAUUGUCAACAAGUCAAGAUCGAACAUCAAAAGCCUGGUGGAUUAUUACAGGACAUAGAGAUCCCGACUUGGAAAUGGGAGAUGAUUAAUAUAGACUUCAUUAUAGGCUUACCUCGCACUCAACGGAAGUAUGACGCUAUAUGGGUUAUUGUAGAUAGGCUGACGAAAUCGUCCCAUUUUCUUCCGGUCAGGACUACUUAUUCAGCUGAAUUAUGCGAGGUUGUAUGUCAAGGAGAUAGUGACACUUCAUGGAGUUCCCACGUCCAUUAUAUCAGACAGAGGAGCUCAAUUUACAGCCAACUUUUGGAGAUCGUUUCAGAAGGGAUUGGGGACACAGGUGAACCCUAGCACAACAUUUCACCCUCAGACUGAUGGGCAGGCUGAGCGUACUAUUCAGACAUUAGAAGAUAUGUUGCGGGCCUGUAUUAUUGACUUCAAAGGUAGCUGGGAUGACCACUUGCCACUCAUUGAGUUUGCCUAUAAUAAUAGCUACCAUUCUAGUAUCCAAAUGGCACCGUACGAGGCCUUAUAUGGGAGGAAGUGCAGGUCACCUAUUGGUUGGUUUGAUUUUGGCGAGACUAAGUUAAUAGGCCCGAAUAUGAUUCAGCAAGAUGUUGACAAGGUGAAGCUUAUUCAAGAAAGAUUAUUAGCAGCCCAGAGUCGACAGAAGUCAUAUGCAGAUAAUCGGCGUCGAGAUCUGGAGUUUCAGAUUGGUGAUUGGGUAUUCCUGAAGGUAUCACCCAUGAGGGGUGUGAUGAGAUUCGGCAGGAAGGGGAAGCUCAGUCCAAGAUACAUUGGGCCUUAUCAUAUUGUUCGUAGGAUAAGCAAGGUUGCCUAUGAGUUGGAUCUACCAUCUGAUUUGGAGACGGUACAUCCAGUCUUCCAUGUAUCGAUGCUACGUAAAUGUAUUGGUUAUCCUUCUAGAGUAUUCCCCGUAGAUGAUGUUCAGGUAACAGAGGAGUUGUCAUAUGAGGAAAAACCCGUAGCUAUACUUGAUCGCCAGGUUAGAAGGUUACGUACUAAGGAUGUGGCUUCCGUCAAAGUGUUGUGGCAAAAUAACAAUAGGGAGGAGAUGACUUGGGAAGCGAAAGACGAAAUGAAGAAUAAGUAUCCUUAAUUGUUCCCCGUAACUGCAGGUAAUUCAAUUCCUAGCUUGACUAUAUUGAUUGAUAAGCGAGAUUAUGUAGUAAGUUGUGACUCUGUGAGGCAUCUGUACGUUACGAAAUGUAGGUUGAUAGAUAUAACUGUUAGAGAGACCUCGCUGGAAUUUGUUUUUGUAAGACGCUAACUUAACAUUCGAGGACGAAUGUUCCUAAGGGGGGAAGGAUGUUAUGCCUCGUAUUUUUUGUACGUAGUGCGCAUCAUGAUCUAGUAGACGUAAGUCCGGGGAAUGAGAUUUUAUUUUAAGUUCCAAGUGAUUAAAGAAAUAUUAGGCAAGGAUGUUAAUUCCAAAUGUGAUAUUAAGUAUGAGUUGGCUAAUGUAAGUGCCAUUAACUUUAAGUGAGGGAUUAAUUAGUGACUGAGUAGGAUUAAUUUAAUCCAAUGGGCCCCACCACUCAUAAUUGGUGGCUGAUUAGGAUUAAUUUAAUCCAGUGGGCCCCACCACUCAAGGCAAAAAUUAAAAAAGGGAUCAGAUUGUGAGCUGGCCUUAGAGGACAGGUGUAGAGGGGGGCUGCCUCCACUUCAUACUAUUAAAUGAGGUGGAGAAAUUCACUCCAUGCUAAAUAAAGUGGUGAAAUGCAUUGCUGCAUAUCUUCUUCUUCACCACUUGUCUUAGGCAGCCAUGGAAAUGGAGAAACCAACCCUGCAACUCUUGGCCAUCAGCUGCAAAUAAUUUGGUUAGUAAUCUCCUUGUUUGGUGUGUUAAUUCUUUAGAAUACCUUUGUUAAUUAUCCAUUAAUUUUAAGAAGGGGGUGUGACCAGUAGCUUAGGAAGUUUGUUUUAGUUAUUGAAUGUGCUAAGUAUGAACGGAAACCAUAAUCGGAUUAUUAGUGGUGUCGUGUUGGUGCUUGGGGUUAGAUUUGGCAAGAAGAGGAAAUUAAUGUGGGCAAACUGCUAUGAAAAACUCCUAGAGAUGGAUCUAUGUUGAAGAAGUAGAUCCAUUAUUCCUUUAAAAAUUAUAAGGUGUAUUUGAAAUGUGUUUCAAGAAAUAAGGGGCAACAUGGGAGGCUGAGGCCGAUGAAGCGUUAAGAUAUUAUGAUUGAAGUUUCAUGAUUUUUGGUGAAGUCUUGCAAAAAUGUGGGUUGCAUUAGUGUAGCCUUUGCCUAUUAUGACUAGAUUCUUAGUGAGUUAUUGGAAACUCCAUGAGAUUAGGUGGAAGGGUUAAUAACAUGUUGUUAUAUCGGUGAUCUUGAGUCCAUUAUUCCUAUUAACGAUCCUCGAUUUCAAGGACGUCGAACCUAGUUCAAGUGUGCCUUAGCCUAUUUUAGAAGGAGGAAAUCCUCAACAAGUUCGAAAGGACUAAAGACCUUGACCUGCAAGUUGAUGUAAACACUGCCUGUGUUUAUCGACGAGAUGAAGGCAAUGAUUGUGUAUGGAUCGACGGUUUGUCAUUGACAACCGUGGAUCAUACAUAGAGAAAUGGAGAAAGCCUCCGCCUGCAACAGUCUCUGACCAAGACGAUGGUUGUGCAGGACAGAGGGGGUACCAACCGUCGACUCACAGACGGCCCGUCGACUGGGUUCCGUUUGUGAGUGUCAAUGUUUUCCUGCAUGUUUUAAUAUUUUUCAUUUAAUUAGUUGAGGGGUUAGGAGGUUAAUUAGGGUUUAAGUGAGUCUAACUAAGUUAAUUAGUGUUAUGCCUCAUAUUUUUUUUAUACAUAGUGCGCAUCGUGAUCUAGAAGACGUAAAUAAAUAUUAGGCAAGGAUGUUAUUUCCAAAUGUGAUAUUAAGUAUGAGUUGGCUAAUGUAAGUGCCAUUAACUUUAAGUGAGGGAUUAAUUAGUGGCUAAUUUGGAUUGAUUUAAUCCAAUGGGCCCCACCACUCAAGGCAAAAAUUAAAAAGGGAUCAGAUUGUGGGCUGACCUUAGUGGACAGGUGUAGAGGGGGGCUGCCUCCACUUCAUACUAUUAAAUGAGGUGGAGAAAUCCACUCCAUGCUAUAUAAAGUGGUGAAAUGCAUUGCUGCAUAUCAUCUUCUUCUUCACCACUUGUCUUAGGCAGCCAUGGAAAUGAGAAACCAACCCUGCAACUCUUGGCCAGCAGCUGCAAAUAAUUUGGUUAGUAAUCUCCUUGUUUGGUGUUAAUUCUUUAGAAUACCCUUGUUAAUUAUCCAUUAAUUUUAAGAAGGGGGCGUGACCAGUAGCUUAGGAAGUUUGUUUUAGUUAUUGAAUGUGCUGAGUAUGAAUGGAAACCAUAACCGGAUUAUUAGUGGUGUCGUGUUGGUGCUUGGGCUGUUUUGAUUAAAGCAAACUGCAGGAAAAUUCUGUUUUGGCAUUAUGUAUAUGUUGAAUGUGAUUAUGAGUAUAUACUCCAAAGGAUGAAUACGAUAAGGUAGAUGUGUUGCGAAUUAUAAAACGAGUUAUCGCUCGGUGUGUCGUUGCUUCGCUGCUAUAGUUGCCGAGAUGGAACUGUUUUGGGGAGGGGGCUGUUUAAUAUGAUUCUUUGGGUUACAUGUGUUAUUGGUAUUGCUGUGGAUAAUUUGGAUUGUUGUCGGAUUGGGACGAAGUAAGGAAAAUAGGGGAGGUGCUGCCGAAUUUUCGUUAGAUUAUUAGCUAGCUUACAAGAAAGUAAAGCACGAUGUUUAUCUAAUUGCGGCACGAUUGUUGCUUGUUAUAGAUUAAUAGCUUGAGCAGUAAAUAUUGGACGUGCGGCUCGAUUAUACGGUAUGUAACGCUGUCCCUUCUUUCUUUGCUUGGCAUGACUUUUAAAAAUAAGCGAAUAACGGACAGAUUUGAUACUUACCUCUAAAGCGUCUAGGUGAUGUAUAUUCUUGCUUCCACAAUUAUUCCUCUAUAUAUCGGCUAUGUCUAAGGCUAUGAUGAUCUCUAAUAUCUAUGGUAAUGCUUCUUAGAGUCAUUGAGAUUUUACGUUUCCAUAUCGUAUUAAAGGUUCAUAAUCUUGAUAAAACAUUAAUCUUUGGUAAUACUCCUUGCUGGUUCACGUUGAUUGUUCUAUUGAGUUAUAAGGAAUGAUUUUAAUUGCAUAUGGUUGCUCAUAAUAUUCUGCUCGUGCAUAGAGUCAUUUAUCAUUUCACCGAGUCCCGGGCCGGGUAAUGUUCGUGCGGAGUUUCUUGCAUAUGUCACCGAGUUCCUCACUAGAGGGCCGGGUAUGUAUAUUAUAUAUAUGAUUGGUGAUGAGGAUGGUUAUGAUGAUGAUGAUGACGGAGAUGACGUGAUGAUUAUUUUGCCGAGCCCCUUACUAGGGAAGCUGGGCACCUUAAAUGUUAAAUAUAUGCAUGAUUUUCACUUAAAAAGUAUAUGUGUAGCGAUAUUUUGUUUCGACUUGCCACAUUGGUAUCCUGUCAUCUUUACCUUAUGCUUUACAUACUCAGUACAUUGUCCGUACUGACCCCCCUUUCCUCGGGGGGCUGCGUUUCAUGCCCGCAGGUGUAGACGCGCAAUUCGGUGAUCCUCCCGCCUAGGAUAUCUACUCUGCUGAUUGGGAGAGCUCCACUGUUCCGGAGCCCAGUCAUUUUGGUACAUAACUUUUGUGUAGUCUUUUGCUCGUCUAUGGGUAUGGCGGGGCCCUGUCCCAUCGAGUUUCACUAAUGUACUCUUAGAGGUCUGUGGACAUUAUGUGGGUUGUAUAUAUAUGUUUUGGAUAAUGGUCUGGACAUGGUUUGUUUGGGAUGUCCGCUUGUACAGGGGCAGCCUUGUCGGCUGCGUACAUCAUUAUGCUUUGAAUAGUGGCGGCCUUGUCGGCUCGCGUAUGCUGUUAUGGUUGAAUGGUUAUGACUCCUUAUGAGACAGGUCCUCUUAUAUAUAUAUGACGUUGGGGUUGGCUUGAUUUGAUUAAAUUCCAUAUUGUCUUAGUUUCAGUUGGUCAUACUUAGCAGGUUUGUAUGUGGGUGUCCAAAACGGGCACUAAUCACGGCCUAUUGGGUUGGGUCGUGACAAAGAGUGGUAUCAGAGCGGUUCUUCCUCGGAAGUGUCUACAGACCGUGUCUAGUAGAGUCUUUUUUAUUGGUGUGUUGUGCACCACAUCUAUAAACAGGAAGCUACAGGACAUUUAGGAUGUCAUUCUUUCUUCUUAUUCUAGAUCGUGCGAUAGAGCUAUAUUAACAGGAUAAUCCCUCUCUAACGAAUCCGUGUGUUUUCAGCUAUGCCUCCAAAGAAAGCGACAGCCGCCCAGAAGGGAAAAUCGGUAGAAGAAGGUACUAGUCAGACCCGGAGAGUUACUCGGGCCCGUGCCCAGUCUAUGCCGGUAUUAUGCUCCAGUUGGAGAGCUCUGCUACACCCCCACCGCCAGAAGAGCUUAGAGCAGCAGCAGCUCCAGUUCGGGGGACACCACCAGCCCCCGAGGCCCCAACAUCUGAACCUCCAGCUCCUCAGUCAGGGGCGGAGGAUAGGGCCAUGAGAGAUGCGGUUCAAUUGCUGACUAGAUUAGUGGCAGAUCAGGCUCGCAGGCAUGGACUAGGAGUUGAUCAUGCGGACAGAUCUGAUAGCUUAAGGGCUCGUGACUUCUUAAGUUGUAAUCCUCCAGAGUUCUUUGGGUCAAGGCCACAGGAUGAUCCGCAAGAGUUUAUUCGUCAGAUGCAGCGUACAUUGAGGAUAAUCAAGGCUUCAGAGACCGAGUCUGUUGGGUUGGCUACGUAUCGUUUGCGGGAUGUAGCUAUUAAUUGGUAUGAGUCUUGGGAGUUAUCUAGGGGUGAGGGUGCCCCUCCAGCGGUAUGGGAUGAAUUUGUGGAGGCUUUCCAGGGCCACUUCCUGCCUCCAGAGAUGAAGCGAGCUAGAGUCGAUAAAUUCUUGCGUUUGAAGCAAAAUGGCAGGAGCGUUCGAGAGUAUAGCCUCGAGUUUGAUUCAUUGGCUAGGCAUGCGCCUUCUAUUGUGGCUGAUAUGGCAGACAGGGUACAUCGUUAUGUGAUGGGAUUGGAUCGUUAUCUGAUUGACGGUUGUAUGGCAGUGACUCUUCAGCCAGGUAUGGACAUUGCUCGGGUGCAGGCAUAUGCACAGGGGGUAGAGGAUCGGCACCGGGGACGUCAGCCAGAUAGAGAUUAUAAUAGUGGCCAGCAUAAGAGGGCUAGAUCAGCAGGUUAUCCUGACGAGUUUCAAAGCGGGCAGUCUCAGCAGCAUGUUAGAUUUUCUUCCCAGCCAGCACAGAGUGCCCCCACGUUUCAUGGGUAGGGGGUUCGAUCGUAUGGGAUAUUCGGAACCUGGUCAGAGCUCUAGGGCGUCAGGGUCACAGAUGGGCAGGGGUUUGAGCCAGUCGAGGCCACUUUUCCUCGGUUUUCUCGUUGUGGUAAGUCUCAUCCUGGGGAAUGUCGUUGGGCUACAGGUGCGUGUUUUUCUUGCGGCCGUCAGGGCCAUACUAUGAGGGAGUGUCACCUUAGAGGUAGUGCAGGUUGUAAGGCACAGCCUACAGGGUCCGUUGCUGGUUCAUCUUCUUCUGUGGCUAUGCGCCCUACGGGGCAGGGUAUUCAGGCACCACCAGGCCGUGGUAGAGGACGUGGUGGAGCUUCCAGUUCUAGUGGUCCCUCAAACCGUAUAUAUGCUUUGACUAAUAGGCAAGAUCAAGAGGCGUCACCUAAUGUGAUCACAGGUAUAUUAUCACUAUUCUCCCGAAGUGUGUAUGCAUUGAUAGACCCAGGUUCCACCUUAUCAUAUAUAUCUCCCUUUUUUGCUAGUAGGAUCGGAAUAGAGUCUGAGUUGAUAGAACCAUUUGAGGUAGCUACACCUGUAGGAGAUUUUGUCAUAGCUACGCGAGUAUAUAGGAAUUGUUCAGUAGCUAUAUAUAGUCAUCAUACCGUAGCAGAUCUAAUAGAGUUAAAUAUGAUUGAGUUUGAUAUUAUCAUGGGCAUGGAUUGGUUGGCUGCUUGUUAUGCUAAUGUUGAUUGCAGAGGAAAGAUAGUUCGAUUUCAAUUUCCAGGGGAACCGAUUAUAGAGUGGAAGGGAAGUACAGUAUCGCCGAAAGGUAAGUUCAUUUCAUACCUCAAGGCCGGGAAGAUGGUUAGAAAAGGCUAUAUUUACCAUCUGAUUCGGGUGCAUGACAUAAAGGCAGAGGCACCGACUCUUCAAUCAGUCCCGGUAGUUAAUGAAUUUCUUGAUGUAUUCCCCGAGGAACUUCCAGGCCUUCCUCCAGAAUGGGAGAUAGAGUUUACUAUAGAUGUACUGCCAGAUACCCAGCCUAUAUCUAUACCUCCUUAUAGAAUGGCACCUGCUGAGUUGAAAGAAUUGAAAGAGCAAUUGAGGGAUUUGCUAGAAAAGGGCUUCAUCAGGCCUAGUACGUCACCUUGGGGAGCACCAGUACUGUUUGUGAGGAAGAAGGAUGGGUCGCUGCGGAUGUGCAUUGAUUAUAGGCAGUUGAACAAAGUAACAAUAAAGAACAGGUAUCACCUCCCAAGGAUUGACGAUCUAUUUGACCAGUUGCAGGGUGCAAAUGUUUUUCAAAGAUAGACUUGCGGUCAGGUUAUCAUCAGGUGCGGGUAAGGGAGGCAGAUAUUCCAAAGACAGCAUUCCGUACCCGAUAUGGGCAUUAUGAGUUUAGAGUGCUGUCUUUUGGGCUGACUAAUGCUCCAGCGGUGUUCAUGGAUUUAAUGAAUAGAGUAUUUAAACCAUUCCUUGAUAUGUUUGUUAUUGUAUUUAUAGACGAUAUUCUGGUCUAUUCACGUUCAGAAGAGGAGCAUGCAGAUCAUUUAAGGAUGGUACUUAGGGUGCUUCAGCACCAGAAGUUGUAUGCUAAAUUUUCUAAGUGCGAGUUCUGGUUGACUUCAGUGGCAUUCUUGGGGCAUAUUAUUGGAGCUGAUGGUAUUCGGGUAGAUACGCAGAAGAUUGAGGCAGUAAAGACUUGGCUUAGACCUACGACACCUACUGAGGUACGCAGCUUUUUGGGGUUAGCAGGAUAUUACAGGAGAUUCGUAGAAAAGUUUUCCUCAAUUUCAGUGCCUUUGACAAGGCUAACUCAAAAGGCAGCCAAGUUCCAGUGGACAGAUGCUUGUGAGCGAAGCUUCCAGCUAUUGAAAGACAAAUUGACUACAGCUCCAGUCCUAACUCUUCCAGAGGGACCAGAUGGCUAUGUUAUUUAUUGUGAUGCUUCGGGUGUUGGGCUAGGAUGUGUAUUGAUGCAGCAUGGCAAAGUUAUAGCCUAUGUCACCCGACAACUUAGGAAGCAUGAAAAGAACUAUCCUACUCACGAUCUGGAGUUAGCGGUCGUGGUUCAUGCCUUGAAGAUAUGGAGACAUUAUUUAUAUGGUUUCCAUGUGGACAUCUAUACAGAUCAUAAGAGUCUCCAAUAUAUCUUUAAACAGAAGGAGCUGAACUUACGACAGAGGCGGUGGUUAGAGUUGCUAAAGGAUUAUGAUGUUUAUAUUUUAUAUCAUCCAGGGAAAGCGAAUGUUGUAGCAGAUGCUCUUAGCCGUAAGUCCAUGGGUAGCUUGACAGAUGUACAACCAUAAGGGAGGGAUAUGGUUCGGGAGAUUCAGCGCCUAUCCAGCCUUGGAGUCCGUCUAGCUAAUUCGGAAGAUAGUGGAGUUUCUAUUCGAGAGGUUGCUGAGUCCUCAAUCAUAGAUGAGGUAAAAAGACACCAAUACAAGGACCCUAUUCUGGCACAGUAUAGAGAUGCAGCUCUUCAAAAGGAAAAGACCCCAUUUAAGGUUACACCUGAUGGAGUGUUACGAUAUGAAGGCAGAUUGUGUGUACCCGAUACUGCGGGGCUACGACGGCAAGUUAUGGGAGAGGCACACUCUGCCCGUUAUUCUAUUCACCCAAGGUCAACAAAAAUGUAUCAUGACCUCAGAUGCUUAUAUUGGUGGGAUGGCAUGAAAAAGGACAUAGCAGAGUUUGUUGCUCAGUGCCCAAAUUGUCAACAAGUCAAGAUCGAACAUCAAAAGCCUGGUGGAUUAUUACAGGAGAUAGAGAUCCCGACUUGGAAAUGGGAGAUGAUUAAUAUGGACUUCAUUACAAGCUUACCUCGCACUCAACGGAAGUAUGACUCUAUAUGGGUUAUUGUAGAUAGGCUGACGAAAUCGGCCCAUUUUCUUCCAGUCAGGACUACUUAUUCGGCUGAAGAUUAUGCGAGGUUAUAUGUCAGGGAGAUAGUGAGACUUCAUGGGGUUCCCACGUCCAUUAUAUCAGACAGAGGAGCUCAAUUUACAGCCAACUUUUGGAGAUCGUUUCAGAAGGGAUUGGGGACACAGGUGAACCUUAGCACAACAUUUCACCCUCAGACUGAUGGGCAGGCUGAGCGUACUAUUCAGACACUAGAAGAUAUGUUGCGGGCCUGUAUUAUUGACUUCAAAGGCAGCUGGGAUGACCACUUGCCGCUCAUUUAAUUUGCCUACAAUAAUAGCUACCAUUCUAGUAUCCAGAUGGCACCGUACGAGGCCUUAUAUGGGAGGAAGUGCAGAUCACCUAUUGGUUGGUUUGAUGUUGGCGAGACUAAGUUAAUAGGCCCGGAUGUGAUUCAGCAAGUUGUUGACAAGGUGAAGCUUAUUCAAGAAAGAUUAUUAGCAGCCCAGAGUCGACAGAAGUCAUAUGCAGAUAAUCGGCGUCGAGAUUUGGAGUUUCAGAUUGGUGACUGGGUAAUCCUGAAUAUAUCACCCAUGAGGGUUGUGAUGAGAUUCGGCAGGAAGGGGAAGCUCAGUCCGAGAUACAUUGGGCCUUAUCAGAUUGUUCGUAGGAUAGGCAAGGUUGCCUAUGAGUUGGAUCCACCAUCUGAUUUGGAGGCGGUACAUCCAGUCUUCCAUGUAUCGAUGCUACGUAAAUGUAUUGGUGAUCCUUCUAGAGUAUUCCCUGUAGAUGAUAUUCAGGUAACAGAGGAGUUGUCAUAUGAGGAGAAACCCGUGGCUAUACUUGAUCGUCAGGUUAGAAGGUUACGUACUAAGGAUGUGGCUUCCGUCAAAGUGUUGUGGCAAAAUAACAAAAGGGAGGAGAUGACUUGGGAAGCGGAAGACGAAAUGAAGAAUAAGUAUCCUUACUUGUUCCCCGUACCUGCAGGUAAUUCAAUUCCUAGCUUGACUAUAUUGAUAGAUAAUGAGAUUAUGUAGCUGUGAGGCAUCUGUAAGUUACGGAAUGCAGGUUGAUAGGUAUAACUUUUAGAGAGACCUCGCUAGAAUUUGUUUUUGCAAGACGCUAACUUAACAUUCGAGGACGAAUGUUCCUAAGGGGGGAAGGAUGUUAUGCCUCGUAUUUUUUUAUACGUAGUGCGCAUCGUGAUCUAGAAGACGUAAAGAAAUAUUAGGCAAGGAUGUUAUUUCCAAAUGUGAUAUUAAGUAUGAGUUGGCUAAUGUAAGUGCCAUUAACUUUAAGUGAGGGAUUAAUUAGUGGCUAAUUUGGAUUGAUUUAAUCCAAUGGGCCCCACCACUCAAGUCAAAAAUUAAAAAGGGAUCAGAUUGUGGGCUUGCCUUAAUGGACAGGUGUAGAGGGGGGCUGCCUCCACUUCAUACUAUUAAAUGAGGUGGAGAAAUCCACUCCAUGCUAUAUAAAGUGGUGAAAUGCAUUGCCGCAUAUCAUCUUCUUCUUCACCACUUGUCUUAGGCAGCCAUAGAAAUGGAGAAACCAACCCUGCAACUCUUGGCCAGCAGCUGCAAAUAAUUUGGUCAGUAAUCUCCUUGUUUGGUGUGUUAAUUCUUUAGAAUAUCCUUGUUAAUUAUCCAUUAAUUUUAAGAAGGGCGCGUGACCAGUAGCUUAGGAAGUUUGUUUUAGUUAUUGAAUGUGCUGAGUAUGAAUGAAAACCAUAAUCGGAUUAUUAGUGGUGUCGUGUUGGUGCUUGGGCUGUUUUGAUUAAAGCAAACUGCAGGAAAAUUCUGUUUUGGCAUUAUGUAUAUGUUGAAUGUGAUUAUGAGUAUAUACUCCAAAGGAUGAAUACGAUAAGGUAGAUGUGUUGCGAAUUAUAAAACGAGUUAUCGCUUGGUGUGUCGUUUCUUCGCUGCUAUAGUUGCCGAGAUGGAACUGUUUUGGGGAGGGGGCUGCUUAAUAUGAUUCUUUGGGUUAUAUGUGUUAUUGGUAUUGCUGUGGAUAAUUUGGAUUGUUGUCGGAUUGGGACGAAGUAAGGAAAAUAGGGGAGGUGCUGCCGAAUUUUCGUUAGAUUAUUAGCUAGCUUACAAGAAAGUAAAGCACGAUGUUUAUCUAAUUGCGGCACGAUUGUUGCUUGUUAUAGAUUAAUAGCUUGAGCAGUAAAUAUUGGACGUGCGGCUCGAUUAUACGGUAUGUAACGCUGUCCCUUCUUUCUUUGCUUGGCAUGACUUUUAAAAAUAAGCGAAUAACAGACAGAUUUGAUACUUACCUCUAAAGCGUCUAGGUGAUGUAUAUUCUUGCUUCCUCAAUUAUUCCUCUAUAUAUCGGCUAUGUCUAAGGCUAUGAUGAUCUCUAAUAUCUAUGGUAAUGCUUCUUAGAGUCAUUGAGGUUUUACGUUUCCAUAUCGUAUUAAAGGUUCAUAAUCUUGAUAAAACAUUAAUCUUUGGUAAUACUCCUUGCUGGUUCACGGUUAUUGUUCUAUUGAGUUAUAAGAAAUGAUUUUAAUUGCAUAUGGUUGCUCAUAAUAUUCUUCUCGUGCAUAGAGUGAUUUAUCAUUUCACCGAGUCCCGGGCCGGGUAAUGUUCGUGCGGAGUUUCUUGCAUAUGUCACCGAGUUCCUCACUAGAGGGCCGGGUAUGUAUAUUAUAUAUAUGAUUGGUGAUGAGGAUGGUUAUGAUGAUGAUGAUGACGGAGAUGACGUGAUGAUUAUUUUGCCGAGCCCCUUACUAGGGAAGCUGGGCACCUUAAAUGUUAAAUAUAUGCAUGAUUUUCACUUAAAAAGUAUAUGUGUAGCGAUAUUUUGUUUCGACUUGCCACAUUGGUAUCCUGUCAUCUUUACCUUAUGCUUUACAUACUCAGUACAUUGUCCGUACUGACCCCCCUUUCCUCGGGGGGCUGCGUUUCAUGCCCGCAGGUGUAGACGCGCAGUUCGGUGAUCCUCCCGCCUAGGAUAUCUACUCUGCUGAUUGGGAGAGCUCCACUAUUCCGGAGCCCAGUCAUUUUGGUACAUAACUUUUGUGUAGUCUUUUGCUCGUCUAUGGGUAUGGCGGGGCCCUGUCCCGUCGAGUUUCACUAAUGUACUCUUUGAGGUCUGUGGACAUUAUGUGAGUUGUAUAUAUAUGUUUUGGAUAAUGGUCUGGACAUGGUUUGUUUGGGAUGUCCGCUUGUACAGGGGCAGCCUUGUCGGCUGCGUACAUCAUUAUGCUUUGUAUAGUGGCGGCCUUGUCAGCUCGCGUAUGCUGUUAUGGUUGAAUGGUUAUGACUCCUUAUGAGACAGGUCCUCUUAUAUAUAUAUGACGUUGGGGUUGGCUUGAUUUGAUUAAAUUCCAUAUUGUCUUAGUUUCAGUUGGUCAUACUUAGCAGGUUUGUAUGUGGGUGUCCAAAACGGGCACUAAUCACGGCCUAUCGGGUUGGGUCGUGACAAUUAGCUUCCCCUGUAAAGACCCCAACCCUCAUUAAUCCAAACACAACUCACCAAAAUAAACUCUCUUUCUUCUCUCUUCUUUCUCUCUCUAUUUGGAAACCACCAUUGAAGACAAGUGAGGGGGUGUUUUGGGGGUUGGAAAGGGAUGAGUUCACCAUCAAAUCUUCAUCAAAUAAGUAUGUGAUAGAAUUCACCUUUGAGUUUUCUUUCCUCAAAGGACUCCUUCAAAGUAUUUCAAAAAGUUGAGUUUUCAUGUGGGUUUCAUCCAAUUACGAAAGUGAUGUCGUGAGCUGAGUUUUUUAUGAUUUCUUUAGGAUAUAAUGGAUAGAUUAACAUGUAUUUUAACUUGAUUAUGAUCAAUUGUGAUGGUUUGGCUCAUAUUGAAGAAUAUGAUCCUUAACCCUUAACCCUAGGUUUGAUCUUGAUGGAAAUUGAGUUGUGAUUCAUUCAAUUGUCUUGAAAAUGUGUUAAUUAUGGUUGUGAGGUUAAUUAAGAUGUAAAUUCUAGAAGGAUGGUGAUGUAUACCCAUGUGCCUUAUUAUGAAGUGAUAUGUAAUGUGUUAACCUCACCUACAUGAAUUGUGAUAAAAGGAUUUAUACUCAUACAAUUCUUAUUGAGCUAUUGAUGAUGAUGAUUAUACAAGGCUUAAAGACAUUUUAAAAAGGGACUCUAGCUUAGCACCGAGUGAACUAGAUUGAGGAGUGUCCCUUCCACAUAGGGAAGGUAGGAGCACUAAAUUACUCUUGAGAUUGGAGACUAUAAGGCAUGGAGCAUUAAGAGGAUUCCAAAUAUAUCUCCUAGUUCUUGAACUUUGUUGUCCUCAUAUGAGUACUAGCUAGUGGAUCCACGUAGUUGCUAUGUUUUAUGUUUUGGUACUAGCUUGCAAGUAGUCCGCCUUCUUUCGGUGUAGGGUUUCAUGACACCGGAUUCCACACUAGCUCAUGUGGUCUAUGCCUGUUAGGCCAAGAUAUUCCUAUAAGGUAAAAUGAAACAAGGGAUUUGAACUCUAACUUGGAUAACCUAAGGGGUCUAGCUUAGUAUAGGUAGGAGUAUGAGACUCUACCUAAGUAUUGCACUAGUUAGACUUGAGGGGAGUCUUAGGAGGAUGUUCUUAUAUAUGAUUAUGCUAUGAUAAUAUAUGAUAUGUACAUAAUGAACAUGCACAUUGUUCAUAAUAUAUGUUGAUUAGUUCACUUAUGAGAAUGGGUUGGGUUAUAUUGUUAAAAUAAGAUGAAAUGUAUAUCUAAAUGUUAUACUAUGUGGAGUUUGAUAUUGGUUAUGGUUUUCUUGUUGGGGAUACUUGAUUGAGUAAGAUUAUGGGGAUUUGCUUGGUCAUUACACUUGUUGUCUUGUUAAGGAUUCAUUAGUAGUUGUCUUGCUUAUUAUGAUAAAAUUGACUCUUAGUCAUGCUUUUGAUGUAUCCUUGAUGAUAGGGUUGUAAUAAAUUAUGGGUUCAAGUAUGUUGGGAUACAUAUUACUUGUUUGAGUUAGUAAGCAUGUUGGUUGAUUGGUAUAACUUGCUUGAUUUUGCAUUAGACUUUUAAAAGGGUAAAAUGACAUGUUUUGACUAAAUGUUCCUUUUUAUCAUGUUUUGCUCUUAUAUGUGUAUAUGGUCUCAUACUUAGUACAUGUGGAGUACUAAGUCCAUUUUCUUCCUUUUUCCAAAUAUUUUAGGUUCUGGUCGUUUAAGGCUCAUCCGAGACGACUUGAAGAAGGCUUGGAUAUUCUCUAUCAUCCAAGUGGGAAGGCCCUUACUUUCUGAGGGUGAUGUCAAUAUCUUGCCUAUGAAGUUUCUUUGUUUUUCUAAUACUUCUAUGUUCAUACCACUUUCAUUGCGUACGACUUGUAUAAGCCUAUAUGUUGCUUCUUUACAUUUGAUGUAGAGCUAUGCCCAAAUUGUGAUGAUUGUUUAGAUGGUAUGAAAUGAGACAAUCUUUGUGACUAUCUUUCUAUCUUAUAUAUAUGUAUGUGUAAUAAGAGUUGAAGGCUAUGUAACUUUCCUAUACGAAGGAUCUAUGUAUGUAUACUCGAUACAUAUCUAUUAUGUGUAUGUAGAAGUCUAUAUAAACCUCCAAGUAGAUGAAAUGAAAAAUUUUAAGUUUUUCCGCAUUUUCAAUCUAUGAAUGUAAUGACAUGAGACUAAGAGGCUAGUCUUAGUCCUCAAAUAGGACGACGACGCUGGUAACAUCUAGAAGGGGUAAACCUUUUUUUUAUUGCAACACAUUGAUAGUCAGCUUUUACUCUUUAUUCCGAAACUUGAUAGCUCAUAAUUUCACUUCUUGUUGUCUUCAUCAGUUUGAAAAAGAUGAAAUUUUGGUACCAAAACAGACCUCAUGGUUUUGGUACUAUCCUGAUGUUUCCUUCAACACUGUUUCACCUGCUCAGAAGGUAAAUUAUAAACAUUUAUGCAUCACAUAAUCUCAUAUGUUUCUACAUAAUUCACUCUUUUAUGAUCAUAAGUCAAUCUAAAUUUCACUGUGAAAGUACACAGAACAUUUUAAAUGGGUCAUGUAAUCCCUGAUUUUUUUGAGGAUAUAUCCUGAUCUUUAGUUCAUUUGUGUAUAUUUGUAAAUUACUUCUUCGCCAUGGUAUCAGUUGUUAUUGUGUUUAGAGAGUUAGGCAUAUGAUCUGUUAUACAAUGCCGGGAUUGUUUUUCCUUUUAUUCUCUUUCAGAUAACCUUAGCUCUCUUUCUCUUCCCUUUUUCCUCCUUGCUAGCAAUGGAUUAUAAGCAUUGUUCUACUUUAACUACUAACAACUAUUUGAUCAAUUUCAAUGUUGGAAUUCAACUUCAAAGGCUCAUGCAUGACCUUCAAAAAAGUAAGCUGGAUUUCUCUUUUUCAUGGUUUGUGUGAUCACGUAUUUAAAAUCUGGUUGUCACAGAAGUUAGGAACUUAAAUUGAAAUAUUAUUUUGAAUCUACUACUAUUUCCUUUUAGACAACCAGACUUGACAAAUCCUUGUCAAAAAAAUUAUGGAUUUUCAAAAAUUAUUGUUAUGAUAGCAUUUUCAAGUGUUCUUAGCCUUCUUUGUUUGUAAAUUUGUAUUUAAGCUGAUCAUACUAAGGGAAAGGUGACUUAUUACUGCUAAGAAAGAAAUCAUAUAUUCUUAAUGUUUAUGCUAAUAUGGCCUUGCAUAUGCAUGUCCCAUGGUCAAGGGAAGUAUCAAAUACAUAUAUAUUUAUGUGUUUACCUGAAUUACAUCUGGUUUGACUUAACGGUGUGUUCCAUGGAAUAUGUUUAGUUUGCCAUCAUUUGGUUUCAAAUUUUGUUUGAUUUUUCCGUUUCUUGAGCAACAUGUGUUGAAAUAGGACUCUGAUUGCUGGAUGCGUUUCCAACAACACAAAUUGCUAUUUAUUAUUGCAGGAAAUGUAGCAUUCAAUAAGAAAAGUCUAAGAAGCCAUUGUUGCUACAGAUUGUUUGCACGGUAACAUUUGUGAUAUCCAAGUAUUUCUUUUAAAUUUAGUUGUAGAAAGUACUGAAAGGAUUCUAAUAAGGAUUUAAUGAAUAUUUUUUAUAAUUAUCUUAUGUAGGUUUCCAUUUUCUGAUUGGGAUUGUAUAUCAGCGGUGAUACGAUGAUGCAGGAUGAUAUGUCAAGGGAUAUUAAAAUCGUGGCCACAAGUCAAUUCAAUCAAUUGAAGUUCAUGCGACUUUUUGAAUAUUAAAAUGUUAAAUCAAGGGACAUUUUUGCUAUUGCUUCUUCAAAGUAAAUUGCAAUUAUAUGUUUUUUGUGUGUUAUUUAUUAGAUAAUCAAAGAGACAUCAAUAAUGUGGAUUAUUGAUAAAAUUACUUCAUUUACAGUAGUAAAGACUACACUUCAUAAAUGUUACUUUAGAUGAGUAUCAAAUGGAACGUUUGAAUUUGUGAUCAAAAAGGAAGCAAAGUCCACACAUAAAAAGUGUUGUUCCAGGUAAUAAAAAUGUUCUCAUAUAAGGUUCUAGAAGUGUGUCCUUAUUAUAAUAUAGAAUAGGGAACACUUUUUAAGAGUUGUGUAUAAGGAAAUAGUGUUGCCUUAUCAAAGGUUAUGGUGGCUUAGGCAACCCCUAUAACAGUGUUGUCUAAAGUCAAAAAGUGUGUCCUUUGCUAGUUUAGGGUACACUUUAUAGGGGUGGACGUGGGUCUAAAAUAGUGUAGUGAAAGGGAAAAACUUGAAAAAAGGUCUAGAGGAAAAUAGAGGUAUAGGCUUUUUGAUGAUAAUUCCUUCGAAGAAAGGUGGCAUGGGGCAAGAUCAUUCAAGGAAUAGACAAAGGUUUUAUGGAAAAAUCUCUCCUAAGGUUCCCCCAAAGUUUAAUCAAGAGAGUGUGGCUAGCCCUAAAUCUCAAGGACUGAGUAGUGGUAGAUCUUAUGUGUUUAGGACUACUUGUGAUAGGUAUGGAAAACGACAUGAUGGUAAGUGUCUAGCCGGCAUGAAGGGUUGCUAUAGUUGUGGUGAAAGUAGUCACUAAAUGAGAGAUUGCCCGAUUCUCAUGGCUAGAAGAAGAGAAUGGAAGCAAGCUCCUCCAAGUGGUUAGGGUACUAGUAUACCAAGGAAAGUGAAGUAUUAUGCACUUAUCUAUUCAUGUAACUUAGAGGGAUCUCCGGAUAAAUGUACCGGUAGGUUAAAAGUUUUCAUAGUGUAUAUGCUUUAUUAGAUCCCUGUACUACCUUAUCUUUUGUGAUGCCUCAUAUGGAAUUGAGAUUUGAUGUUCCCACGGAAGAGUUAUUAGAACCAUUUUCGGUUUAUACUGGCUAAGAGAGUGUAUAUAAGAUGUCCCAUUUGCCUAUACCAUAGAGUUACUCUUGUUAAAGUUGGUAGGAUUUGGAUGCAUUGUUAUUAAACCUCUAUUAGUUUUAGAACUUGAUAAGGUUAUUAUGAGUUUUGGUGAUGCUUUUGGGAUUGUGUGAAAUGAGUAUAAUUUGAGGUCUUAGUAACGGGCUUACUCCAAAGGGGAAUAGAUAUGCUUAGAUAGAAAGAUUGAUUGAGAGUCCCGAUAUACUCAUCCCUUUCUUCUAUUUUCGUUCUAGCUUGAGACCAAGAUUUCUUUUCAGUCUUGUUUUACGUCUUUGGAGUCAUGAGUGUUUUUGAAAUUUCCAUGAUCUCCUUAUUUUAUGCAUGUUUAUAAGAAAAUUUAUGUUUAGUACAGAAUGAGUGUUCCUAAUAUAUAUGUUCCUCAUGUGUCAUAAGAUGAUUUGAUGAACAUGCUUUGUAUUCUUUUGGUAAAAUUCCAUAUUGGCUCCAUAGUUGGAGAAGGUAGUUCCUCCUAAGAUUAUGUGAUGGAUGAUGCUGAGAAGAGUUUCUAUAGCCUUACUCCCAAUGUGGAAAAGGUGUAUCUAGGUAGAAAGGUUAUUAUGUGUUUAGGUGUUCCCAUGAUUUCUUUAUACUAUGAAUUUUCAUGAAAACUUGUUUUUGACAGAAAAUGAGUUACUGGGAAUUCUUCUCCUCAUUUUGUAGUGCAGUGAGUAUGAGUUUCUUAUUGUACUUCAUAUGAAGAAUAUAUGACCAUGCUUUAUUACGGAGUUGAGAGAUUUCUCCUUGAAUAAAAUGCUUUUUUAGAGUAAAUGACAUAUGAGAUCCAUGAGAGUGUGUUGAGCAUGUUAUGACAAGGAGAAGGUAGUUCCUCCUGGAACAUGACUAUUUCUGAUAAUUUCAUGAAUUAAUGUAGUUCCUAUUUCCUUAUGUCUAUGUUGAGAUGGAGUUGAUGUUCCCUCCAUGCUAGUAUGUUGUAUGCAUGAUGGUUUGAUAAUCUUGAGUCUUUAAUUUAGAGAGGUAUUUAAAAAUGUCAUUCGAGAACGUUUGUUCCCAAAAGGGACAUAACGUAACACCCAGAAAAAUAGUAAGUGAAACUACACCUUCACAUGAUAUUUUCAGAGUUUGAUAUGUGGGUUAAUGUUGUAAAAUUGCUUCCCCGUUCUUAUGAUGAGGUGUUUACGGGUUUAACUUCAAGGUAUGACUCCUCAAGGACCAAUCAAAAAAAUUUCUCUUAUAACAAAAAAUAUUAAGAUUGAAUCAAAGUCAUUAUUUAUCACAAUUAACUUAUUUCAUCACAUCCAUGACUUGUAUCAAGAUAUGUGAAGUCUCAGUACUUUGUGAUGGGUUGGUAAAACUCCAAUUUAUAGGGGUGUAAUCAUGGGAUUUCAUAUUGAUUUAAAUGAUCAAGUAUGUUGCAUUUCACUAUUUUAUUAUUGUUCACUGUAGAUUAAUCUCUUAGCAUGUGAUUAAUAUAAGGGUUAAGGCGAACAACUUAAUCCUACUUUACAUCUAUAAUUAGUUCUUGAAAGAGACCAAUAAGAGUGGGUAACAGGCUCAAUGUUUCCAAUGUAGCUGACUUUAGUUGUAAAAGCAAAUUAAUUGGUUGAUAUGUGAAUCACAUUACGGGACAGGAAGGAGAUUUUACGAAAUAUUACUAUGAGAUCGAAAGAAAAUUAUCAUUACUGAAGAUGACCCAACUUAUCUAUUGCUGGUAUGCUUUGUCGAGCAAUGCAUUUUACACUUCUUUGCAUCAAUACAAUCCCCUACACCCCCACAAUUAUAUUAAAAAUCAAUUGAAAUCUUUUUUGUUUAUCAUAUUACUAAUACUUGAUCUUGAAAUUGCUUAAUUAAAUUUCAUGGAAUAAUCUACCCAAUUGUCUUAUUCGUUCUAAUUUAUUAGUCACAAUUUAAUUUAAUUUUGGAUUCUUAUCCUUACACUCCUUGUGAGAUUUGACCCCACCUCUUAGUUGAGCAUUUUCCAUUGAAAACUAUCGCUCACACUUUAAAUUUGUUGCAGAGAAUAGUUUGAGUAGUAUAAGAUAUUUGCAAUACCUAAAAAAUAAAAUCCCAAUAGGCGCAGUCUAGACAAGUUACCCAAAUUUCCACAAUCAUAGAUACCUCUAUCGAGUGAAUCGCCACAUGAAGGAUGUGGUGAUAUUCCAAAUCUACCUCUGCCAGAUAGAACUACCCCUAGAAAAUUGUAUUGGGGGCAUUUCAAUAAUCUCUAACUGCCACACCCCAACACUCGGUAGGGCGGACAAGUACCAUAUGAACACAUGCUUUAAAAGUAACAUAUGAUGAGAAAAUAAACUACUAUGCAGAUAGAUUCAUUAAUGAGAAGCUUCAUAAACAACACAUGUCGACUAGUUGAACCAAUACAUGUGUCAACUAAAACUAUGAAUACAGAUGAUAGCUUUAAAAGUCUACAAAGACUCUGCUCUAAUCAUGUCACGACCCAACCCGAUGGGCCGUGACUAGUGCCCGUUUUGGAUACCCACAUACAAACCUGCUAAGUAUAACCAACUGAAACUAAGACAAUAUGGAAUUUAAUCAAAUCAAGCCAACCCCAACAUAAUAUAUAUAUAUAAGAGGACCUGUCUCAUAAGGAGUCAUAACCAUUCAACCAUAAAUGCAUACGCGAGCCGACAAUGCCGCCACUAUUCAAAGCAUAAUAACAUACGUAUGCCGACAAGGCUGCCACUACACAAUACACAAUGAUGUACGCAGCCGACAAGGCUGCCCCUGUACAAGCGGACAUCCCAAACAAACCAUGUCCAGACCAUUAUCCAAAACAUAUAUAUACAACCCAUAUAAUGUCCACAGACCUCUAAGAGUACAUUAGUGAAACUCGACGGGACAGGGCCCCGCCAUACCCAUAGACGAGCAAAAGACUACACAAAAGUUAUGUACCAAAACGACUGGGCUCCGGAACAGUGGAGCUCUCCCAAUCAGCAGAGUAGAUAUCCUAGGCGGGAGGAUCACCGAACUGUGCGUCUACACCUGCGGGCAUGAAACGCAGCCCCCUCCCCCCCCCCCCCGAGAAAAGGGGGGUCAGUACGGACAAUGUACUGAGUAUGUAAAGUAUAAGGUAAAGAUGACAGGAUACCAAUAUGGCAAGUCGAAACAAAAUGUCGCUACACAUAUACCCUUUUAAGUGAAAAUCAUGCAUAUAUUUAACAUUUAAGGUGCCCAGCUUCCCUAGUAAGGGGCUCGGCAAAAUAAUCAUCACGUCAUCUCCGUCAUCACCAUCAUCAUAACCAUCCUCAUCACCAAUCAUAUAUAUAAUAUACAUACCCGGCCCUCUAGUGAGGAACUCGGUGACAUAUGCAAGAAACUCCGCACGAACAUUACCCGGCCCGAGACUCGGUGAAAUGAUAAAUGACUCUAUGCACGAGCAGAAUAUUAUGAGCAACCAUAUGCAAUUAAAAUCAUUUCUUAUAACUCAAUAGAACAAUCAACGUGAACCAGCAAGGAGUAUUACCAAAGAUUAAUGUUUUAUCAAGAUUAUGAACCUUUAAUACGAUAUGGAAAUGUAAAAUCUCAAUGACUCUAAGAAGCACUACCAUAGAUAUCAGAGAUCAUCAUAGCCAUAGACAUAGCCUAUAUAUAGAGGAAUAAUUGUGGAAGCAAGAAUAUACGUCACCUAGACGCUCUAGAGGUAAGUAUCAAAUCUGUCUGUUAUUCGCUUAUUUUUAAAAGUCAUGCCAAACAAAGAAAGAAGGGACAGCGUUACAUACCGUAUAAUCGAGACGCACGUCCAAUAUUUACUGCUCAAGCUAUUAAUCUAUAACAAGCAACAAUCGUGCCGCAAUUAGAUAAACAUCGUGCUUUACUUUCUUGUAAGCUAGCUAAUAAUCUAACGAAAAUUCGGCAGCACUUCCCCUAUUUUCCUUACUUCGUCCCAAUCCGACAACAAUCCAAAUUAUCCACAGCAAUACCAAUAACACAUAUAACCCAAAGAAUCAUAUUAAACAGCCCCCUCCCCAAAACAGUUCCGUCUUGGCAACCAUAGCAGCGAAGCAACGACACACCGAGCGAUAACUCGUUUUAUAAUUCGCAACACAUCUACCUUAUCGUAUUCAUCCUUUGGAGUAUAUACUCAUAAUCACAUUCAACAUAUACAUAAUGCCAAAACAGAAUUUUCCUGCAGUUUGCUUUAAUCAAAACAGCCCAAGCACCAACACGACACCACUAAUAAUCCGAUUAUGGUUUCCGUUCAUACUUAGCACAUUCAAUAACUAAAACAAACUUCCUAAGCUACUGGUCACGCCCCCUUCUUAAAAUUAAUGGAUAAUUAACAAGGGUAUUCUAAAGAAUUAACACACCAAACAAGGAGAUUACUAACCAAAUUAUUUGCAGCUGCUGGCCAAGAGUUGCAGGGUUGGUUUCUCCAUUUCCAUGGCUGCCUAAGCAAGUGGUGAAGAAGAAGAUGAUAUGGAGCAAUGCAUUUCACCACUUUAUUUAGCAUGGAGUGGAUUUCUCCACCUCAUUUAAUAGUAUGAAGUGGAGGCAGCCCCCCUCUACACCUGUCCACUAAGGCCAGCCCACAAUCUGAUCCCUUUUUAAUUUUUUUUUUGAGCGGUGGGGCCCACUGGAUUAAAUUAAUCCUAAUCAGCCACCAAUUAUGAGUGGUGGGGCCCAUUGGAUUAAAUCAAUCCAAAUUAGCCACUAAUUAAUCCCUCACUUAAAGUUAAUGGCACUUACAUUAGCCAACUCAUACUUAAUAUCACAUUUGGAAAUAACAUCCUUGCCUAAUAUUUCUUUACGUCUUCUAGAUCACGAUGCGCACUACGUAUAAAAAAAAUACGAGGCAUAACAUCCUUACCCCCUUUGGAACAUUCAUCCUCGAAUGUUAAGUUAGCAUCUUGCAAAAACAAAUUCCAGUGAGGUCUCUCUAAAAGUUAUACCUAUGAACCUGCAUUCCGUAACUUACAGAUGCCUCACAGCUACAUAAUCUCAUUAUCUAUCAAUAUAGUCAAGCUAGAAAUUGAAUUACCUGCAGGUACGGGGAACAAGUAAGGAUACUUAUUCUUCAUUUCGUCUUUCGCUUCCCAAGUCAUCUCCUCCCUAUUGUUAUUUUGCCACAACACUUUGACGGAAGCCACAUCCUUAGUACGUAACCUUCUAACCUGAUGAUCAAGUAUAGCCAUGGGUUUCUCCUCAUAUGACAACUCCUCUGUUACCUGAAUAUCAUCUACAGGGAAUACUCUAGAAGGAUUACCAAUACAUUUACGUAGCAUCAAUACAUGGAAGACUGGAUGUACCGCCUCCAAAUCAGAUGGUAGAUCCAACUUAUAGGCAACAUUGCCUAUCCUACGAACAAUCUGAUAAGGCCUAAUGUAUCUCGGACUGAGCUUCCCCUUCCUGCCGAAUCUCAUCACACCCCUCAUGGGUGAUACCUUCAGGAAUACCCAGUCACCAAUCUGAAACUCCAAAUCUCGAUGCCGAUUAUCUGCAUAUGACUUCUGUCGACUCUGGGCUGCUAAUAAUCUUUCUUGAAUAAGCUUCACCUUGUCAACAGCUUGCUGAAUCACAUCCGGGCCUAUUAACUUAGUCUCGCCAAUAUCAAACCAACCAAUAGGUGAUCUGCACUUCCUCCCAUAUAAGGCCUCGUACGGUGCCAUCUGGAUACUAGAAUGGUAGCUAUUAUUAUAGGCAAACUCAAUGAGCGGCAAGUGGUCAUCCCAGCUACCUUUGAAGUCAAUAAUACAGGCCCGCAACAUAUCUUCUAGUGUCUGAAUAGUACGCUCAGCCUGCCCAUCAGUCUGAGGGUGAAAUGCUGUGCUAAGGUUCACCUGUGUCCCCAAUCCCUUCUGAAACGAUCUCCAAAAGUUGGCUGUAAAUUGAGCUCCUCUGUCUGAUAUAAUGGACGUGGGAACCCCAUGAAGUCUCACUAUCUCCCUGACAUAUAACCUCGCAUAAUCUUCAGCCGAAUAAGUAGUCCUGACUGGAAGAAAAUGGGACGAUUUCGUCAGCCUAUCUACAAUAACCCAUAUAGAGUCAUACUUCCGUUGAGUGCGAGGUAAUCCUGUAAUGAAGUCCAUAUUAAUCAUCUCCCAUUUCCAAGUCGGGAUCUCUAUGUCCUGUAAUAAUCCACCAGGCUUUUGAUGUUCGAUCUUGACUUGUUGACAAUUCGAGCACUGAGCAACAAACUCUGCUAUGUCCUUUUUCAUGCCAUCCCACCAAUAUAAGCAUCUGAGGUCAUGAUUCAUUUUUGUUGACCCUGGGUGAAUAGAAUAACGGGCAGAGUGUGCCUCUCCCAUAACCUGCCAUCGUAGCCCCACAGUAUCGGG
rnacentral:lncRNA from 1 species